rnacentral:lncRNA from 1 species
AAUAUUAUCCAAUCUCACCAUUUAUUUAUUAUAAAAUAUUAGAUACGAUACAUAAUUAAUUAAGAGAUGGAUGAGGUUAUAUAUAUAUAUAUACACACUCACUUCAUUUAUUUAGGUGUGUGUGAGUAUAUCAAGACUUUUUACGGACUUACAUAUUUAGAUAUUUUAGAGAUUCUGUUAAUUAAAGUAGAAGAGUAGGUGAAUAUUGGUAUGUUGAAAACAUGUGUUAUUUAUACUCAUGAAUAGAAUAAUUAAGUAGUAUAUAAUUGUUGUUGUUCAUCUUGUAUUCCAAACAUACUUAGAACAAAACUUUGAACAUCUUUGUAAGAAAACAAAGUUUAAGAACAUUUUCACAACUAGAAAAUUAAAACUAGUAGCGAAACUAGAAUCAGAAACAGAUUUUUUUAAAAAAAUAUACGAAAUAUUUUUCUUAAAGAGGAAUUGUUGUUAAUAUGUGUCUAAAUAAUCUUACUGAUUCCAACAAACUUUGCAGAAACACGAAGUUACCAAGUUUAAUGAACCAGUGAAGAACAGAAGAAUAGAAGAACUGAAAUUAAUUGACAAAUCUAAAAUUUGUAAAAGACGUACCAGAAUCUGAAAAUUUUUAAUAGGAAAAAGAUCAAGUCCACUGAAUUCACAGUGUCCCCUUAAGGAAAUUAUUAGUUAAACGUGUUGGGAGCCGUGCAUGCAUAUAUAUAUACAUUUCAUGACAUAUAUAAUAAUAAUAAUAAUAUUAUUAUUCAAUCUCACCAUUUAUUUAAUAUAAUAUUACAUGAUAAUUAAGAGGGCACUUCAUUUAUUUAGGUGUGUGUGAGUGAUGAUGGAGUAGUCCUAGGUAAUAGUGACGGUUGCUAGAGAUGUAAGUAUCCCAAAAAUUGCUGCCAAAGUUUGACCAACCACAUUCUCAAGUAAGUUUCCAAUAAGGAUAACAGGAGCUACAAGGGUUCCUGUGGUUGGAGUCAAAGUGCAAUUAGCAAUUGGGAGAGGAAUCCUUGCAAUACAUGUUCCUGACAAAAGACUUGUAUUGGUGGACACUGCAGCAUUAAUAAUGCCUUGACUAUUUGUGGACACUUGAGCAAUCGUUGUGUUGCCACAAAUAAUCGUUACAUUUGCUCCACUCACUCCGACGCCUGGGGCAUUACUUCCCGGUACGGAGCAAGACAAACUCCCCAAUAUACUUAAAUUAACAACACGAUCAACAACAGGUGGUACAAUCGGUGGUACUUGACCACCAACAGGUGGUACAAUCGGUGGUACUUGACCAACAACAGGUGGUACAAUCGGUUGGCCAAGAAUAGGACUAAGAAUGGGACCGACAAUUGGACUGAGAAUAGAACCAACAAUCGGUAAUUGGCCAAGACCAACAGGUGGUACUUGACCAACGGGUGGUACAAUACGUGGUGCAGGUUGCCCCAAAAUGGGACCCAAAAUGGGACGAACAAUGAGACCCAAACCUUGAGCAUGAGCUAGAGGACUGAUGGUGAUGAUGGAAAGUAGAACAACAAGGGAAACAACACACAUUUUUGAAGACAUGAUGAUUUGAUAAUAUUUUUUUCUGUUCAAUAUCCCCUUUUUAUAGUGCUCCUUUUUAUUUACUCCACCCCUACCUUAACUUACCCAACCCCCUAAUUUAUAUAAAUGAUUAAAUAUAUUAUCUUUCAUCCCUAAAUAGCAUUAUUAAAGACUUACAAUAUCUCCCUAUAUCAUCAUUAGUUAGGCUGAAACUCAUCAACUUGAACAACAUUGGGACCAUACAAAUUAAUUAAUUCAAUAUCAUUUUGACUUGUCAUAAGAAGAAAUUUUUUUGUAAGCUGAGGCCAAAAGUAGGGUGGGCAUUCGGUAUUUCGAUUCGGUUUCAGUUUUUUUUCCGAUUUUUUGAUUAUUGUAAAUUGUGUACCGAAUACCGAAUCAAAAUAUUUUGGUUCAGUUUGGUUUUUGUUAAUUCGAUUCGGUUUUUUAUUUCGGUUUUUUAUGUUGAUGGCGCGGCUGCUAGCUGCUGACUGGUUGAAUGUUGAUGGUGCCUGGCAGACGGCGUGGCGGCGCUGCUGCUAGUUGCUUGACAGCGCGGCGGCGCUGCUGCUGUCUGCUUGACGGUGCGGCGGCGCUACUGCUUCUUUUGGCGGCCGGCCGGCGCAGCUGCUACUUCUCGCGGCUGCUGCUGCUUCUUCUGGCGGAUGGCCGGCGCUGCUGCUUCUUCUGGCGGACGGCCGGCGCUUAUGCUGAAUCUGGCUGGAGGAGAAGAAGAAGAAGAAGAGGAAGAAGAGGAGAGGAAGAGGAAAGACCAAGAGGAAAACAAAUCAGUAGAAAGAUGAAAGAGAGAGGAAUAGGGCCCGUAGGGUUUCUUUUUAAAAAAAUUAUUUAAUAUUAAUAAUUAUUAAUUAAUAUAAUAUAAAUUAUAGUAUAUUAUUUCGGUUUAAAUCGAAAUAUCAAAAACUAAAAUAAUACAUACCGAAAAUCGAACCGAAAUACCAAAAAAUAUAAAAAAGUAAAUCGAAAACCGAACUGAAAACCGAAAUAUCGAAACCGAAAUUUUGAAAAAUUUCAAUUUCGUUUGGUGUUUCGGUUUUCCGAUGUUUGCUCACACCUAGCCAAAAGGCCUUUAAUUUGCUCAUAGGAACUAUUUUGAUGGAAUAAAUAACUCCACUUGGUUUGGGUGUCAAAAAAAACAACAAUAAAAAUAACAACAACCAUCGAAGAUUUUUGAAAAUAGUUGUGUGAUUGUUAAUCACUUCAUUUAAAAAAAAAUUAAUGUUAUAUCAUGUUUUUAAUUAUAAUAAACUACACUAUAUAAUAAUAAUAAUAAUAAUAAUAAUAAUAAUAAUAAUAAUAAUAAUCAAGGGCAAAAAGCUAAUCUACUUGGUCAACAUAAAAUGACUUUUAAGUUGAAAAAAAAACACCCCUCACCUAUCUUUUAGAUUUUGGCAUAAAAUAAGUCAUUUUGGACUUAAAAUAAGUCACUUUGAUAAUUGUCAAACACUCAAAUAAAUCAAAAACUGAAUUUUAAAUCAGUUUGACCAGCUUUUAAGCCCAUUCCAAUAGGCUCUAAGUGUGUAAAUAACUUUUCGAUACAAGUUCAAGGUGAAAUUUAUGUCUUUUCCCUUUGAAAUACCUAUCACAAUACUUUAUUUCUCACGCCAUGUAUUCAUGAUAUAAUAAAAAUAUAUAUAUUAAAUAUUGAAUAAGAAAUUUAUGGGUGCCUCGACUAUGUUAAAAAAAGACAUAUGUCUUAGGUCCCCCAAAUUUAAGGGGCCUCAUUUUUAAUAAUAAUAGGUUAUAAGUUAUUAUUUUUUUAACAAAUAUUGAAUACUAUUUAUAGAAAAAGUAAAAUUUUUCAUGAAAAAUAAAGGAAUUAUAGAAGAAAUUUGACAUGUUUGAAGUAAUAUAUCUCAAGAAAAAUAAUUUAAAAUAAGAAUGAUUAUAUUAUCAAUUGAAAACUAGAAGAAAUCAAUUAUAUGAAGUUAUUGACGAUUCAAGUCUAAUGAUCUAUUUAAUUUUUGAUUUAAGCCACUAAUAUACUUAAGUCACUUCUAAAGAAAUUUUGAUAUUUUUUCAAAGAAAGAUGUAACAUAAAAGUUAUAAUAAAAUAUGUCUUUUACUUUAUCAGAAAAUAUCAAGAGAACGUGGGAUGAAUGCAUGAGUUAAUUUGACAAAGUUUUAUCAUUCAUUACAAUAUUAUUAAAAUUAAUAAUCUAUCUUAUUUAAUGGCUCAAUAAGUGAAUGAAAAGACAUGUUAAAACUAAUGUAAUUAAGUAUUUUACUUUUACAAAUUAUGACUUAUUAAAACUAAUGUAAUUAAGUAUUUUACUUUUACAAAUUAUCAAAAAUUUCAAAGGACUAAAUCGUUAUGUCAGAAGUGAUUUUAUUUUCACGGUGUUAAGUGAAAUCGCUAAAUCACUGACCUACCAGCGAUUUUGUUCAUAUUUUUUUCCUAUUUUUUUUAAAGGCAACGAUUUUAGUGGAUUUUUUUCCUUACAUCUCGUAAUUUGAAAUAACUAAGAAAUCAAGAAUAAACAAAAUCGCUUCUGAUAUAGCGAUUUAGUGCUUUUAGUUUUAAAAAACUUAAUGUACCCUUUUGAAAUUUUUAAUGUUUUUUUUAACUCAAAGAAAAUUUUUGUAUGGGUAGUGUUUUUGGAUUUUUUUUUAGAAAAAUAAAAUUGCUUUACUGUCGCAUUUUUAUUUUAAUUGUUUUUAAUAUCGCUGCCUAAAAAGCGAUUUAAGUGGGAAAUUAUUAUACUUUUUGGCAAAUGGUAGCGAUUUGUGUGGAAUAUUUUUUAUUUCUUUCUUUUUAAAAAUCUUGGCAACUCUUUAGUUAAAUAACUUUUAUUAAGAUAUUGCUGGCAAUUAUUUUUUAAAAAUUCGUUUUAAAUGUUGGUAAUCAAUUUUAAAAAAUAAUUAUACAAUUUUUUUAAAAAAAAAAUUGGCACUGAUAUUUUUUUUUAAAAAAGAACUUCCACCAAGCAGCGAUUUUUUAUAUAAAAAUCACGAAAAUAGCUGUCAAGAAUUUUUUUUCCAUUAAAACGCUGUUUUUUUUAAUAUAUAAAUGUUGCAUUGCAGUGAUUUAAAAAAAGAGAAAAUUGUAUAUAAUAUAGUAAACUAAUAAUAUAAAAUAAAAUGAAGCAGCUAGGAUUUGAUUUAAUUGUGCUCCAUAGCAAAUGUUUGCAAAAAAUUGCCAGACACCUCUCUCCCAAAUAUCUCGCUCGCCACUCUCCUCCAAUCUCUCGCUCUCUUCCUCACUUUUUAUACAAACACAAGUGUAUAAAAAUUGUUUCUAAUUGUAUAAAGCAGAAAAAAUUGUAUAAAUACAUAUAUUUUUGUUUCCUUCUCUCCUCUCUUCUAGAUCUCGCUCGCCACUCUCCCAAAUCUCGCUCGCCACCCUCGCCUUUCUCACUUAUAUAAACAGAAACGAAAUGUAUAAAUUGCGUUUCUGUUUGGAUAAAGCGUGAGAAAAUUGUAUAUACACAUGCAAGUACAUAUAUUUUCGUCCUAUACACCCAGUUUCUUUUGCCUUUCUCUCUUUCUCAUUUUAUACAAUUUUCAAAUUGUAUCUAAUUUCUUUCUUCCUCGUUUUAAGUAAAGUUAUCAUUACAUAAAUCAAAUGGAGUGAGCUCAAACUUUAGUUAAUUUUUUUUAAAAAAAAUAUUUUGUUGUUUAACAAUUUUUAAAAUGAAAAUGCUAAACCUUUUUCACAAUUAUGUUUUAUAGUUUUUUUAUCAAUAUCUAGUCGAUGAUAACCAUAAUUUUAAUAUAAAUAAUAUAAUAAGGUAACUUAAUUCUGAAAUUCAAGUAUUGAUAUUUUUGAGAAAAUAUUUAUUUAGAAAUUGUAAAACAUUCAUAAUCUAAUAUUUAAUAUGUUUCUUACUCUCAACGAAUGACACUAAUUCAUCAUGAUUCAAAAUUGUAAGAAGUAAAAAUCAAUACUAAAAAGUGCAACUCAUUAUUAUAUGAAGUUUAAUAUGUAGUUUAUCUAUUGUCGAAAGUUUUCCAAGUAUAUGAUAUAUAAUUCUAUGAUAAAUUAAUUUUUGAUCCCAUAUAUUUAUACUAUUUUCAAAUUUAUACCGUUAAUUGAUUAUAUAUUUUCUUAAACUACAAUUACGCGAUCAUUAUUUAUCAAUUCUACUUUAUCAACUUUAUAUUCUUCUUUUUUAUAUCUUUAGAAUUGUGCUAUUUUUGUUUUCUUAUUUAAGUUACAAUUUUAAAGAUAAAAUAAAUAUUUUUUGGAGAUAAAAUAAGUUAAAUAAAAAACUAUAUGAAUACUUAUGUUGAAAAAAAUUAUAUAUAAUUAAAAAAUUGUCCUAUUUUUAUUUUCUUAUUUAAGUCACAAUUUUUAAAGAUAAGAUAAAUAUUAUUUUGAGAUAAAAUAAGUUAAAUAAACUAUAUGAAUACUUUUGUUUAGAAAACAUUAUAUAUAAUUAAAAAAAUUACAUAUAUGAAAGAUUAUAAAAUUAUACUGGUUAUGUUGUAGUAGUAAUAAACAUAGAUGAACAAUUUGAAUUGUCAAGAGUAUAAAAAUAAAAAUAUUUUUCACAUUAUUAUUAUAUCAAACAAAUACAAAUUGAUUUUCAAAAAGAAUAAUAAAAUGUAUUUGUGGGUCACACAUGAAACAAAAAUUAUGUGAUUCUUGAAAAAAAAUAAUAGAUUCUUCUAGAAAACUAUUUUGACAAUUAAUUAUACAAUUAUAAAUUUAAAACUUUGCCCAUAAAAAUAAUUAAAAUUACAAAAUUGUCAUUGAUUGGCCUCAUCAUGACUCUUAUGUAUAAUAGAAACUAGACAAUUGAAGGCCCGUUCAUGGGCUCAAUAUAAUUAAUUAUUUUUUUCAAUUUUAAGUUAAAAAAAUUAUCCAAAUUAAUAUCUUAUUUUAUCAUAGUUUCUAAAAUUUUCUACUAUUUAAACAAUUACAAAAAUGUCCUCUCAGAUACAUUCUUAUCCUCUGUCGGACACAUCAGUAUCUCCUCUCGAAUACAUUCCUAUCAUUUCUUGAAUACAUCUUUAUCUCAUCCUGAAACAUCCAUAUCCUCUCUUGGAUACAUCUCUCCCCUUUCGGAUACAUUCAUUCUCUCUCGAAUACAUCCCUACCUUCUCGGAAUCAUCGUGAGCUCUAUGUCUGCAAGUUUCCUCAAUAGCAAUGUAUCACGAUCGAUGUAUCCGCAUGUGUUGAUUUAUCUGAAAUUAUUUAAUUUUAAAAAGAUUUCGUAAUUUGAAAAAAGUAGGAAUAUAAUGUAAUUAACUCUUUACUCUAUGACAUAUUUUUCUUUGUAGUCAGUUUCAAAAGAAUGAUGUAUAACAUAUUUAAAUAACAUUUUGACUUUAAAAUAUUCAUUCUAUUCUUAGUAAUAUUAUUUAUAGUCAUAUGAACAUCUAUGGUUUGUUUUAGACCAUGAGUUUUAAAAGUGUUUUUUCUUUUAAAAAAUUUUCGUGUUAAGUUAAAUUAAAAUUUCAUAAACCGAAAGGGAGUGAGUACAAACUUUAGAUCAAUUUUAUAUUUAUAAAAUUAAAGUUUUUGUAACUAUUUUGUCUUUUAACAAAAUUUAAAAUGAAAUAAUUCACAAUUAUUUUUAUAGUAUUUUUUUAAAAUCAAUAUUCUAUCAAUAAUAAUAAAUUUUUUUAAUUUAAAUAAGAUAAUAAAGUAUUUUAAUUUUGAAAUUCAUGUAUUGAUAUCAAUUGAGAAAAUAUUUAAUUUUAAGUUGUAAAACAUUCAUAAUCUAAUAUUUAAUGUGCUCCUUACUCUCGAUGAAUGACACUAAUUUAUAAUAAUUCAAGAUUGCAAGAAGUAGAAAUCGAGACUAAAACGUGCAACUCACUAUUAUAUGAAGGUCACUAUGUAAUUUAUCUAUUGUGGAAGUCUCAUUAGUAUAUGAUAGAUAAUUCUAUGCCAAAUUAAUUUUUGUUUUCAUAUAUUUAUACAAUUUCAAAAUUUAUCCCGUUAAUUGGUUAUGUAUUUUAUUAAACUACAACUGCACUCAUUAUUUUAUCUUUUUUUUUAUUCUUACAUUAUCAACUCUAUUUUUUUAUCUCUUUAGAAUUGUGAUACUUUUGUUUUCUUAUUUAAAUCACAAUGUUUUAAAGAUAAAACAAAUUUUAUUUUGGAGAUUAAAUAAAUAUUAUUUUGAAGAUAAAAUAAAAAAAAGAUUUACUAACCUACAACCAGGAAGAUCCACUUUGAAACCCAGCGACGAAGAAAACUUUGAAACUCUUAGCCGCGAAAUGAGGGUGAAAGAGUAAAAUCAUUUCUGGAAAAUAAUGAAACGAGGGGAAAAAAGCGUAAUAAAGAUUUAAGGAAUUAGUCUAUGUGGUAGUGGACCCUAUUGACAUGCAAUAUGGAAUUCACAUAGCAUUUAACAACUUCUCUUAAUUAGAAGGGCAAUUUUGACCCAAUAGUUUCACGGAAAGGGUACUUUUGAGCCGAAAUAUACUUUAAGGGUAAAUAUGAGUUAUUUCAGAUAGUUUAAGAGUAUUUUUUACCCUUUUACUUUUAGUCUACGUGGUAGUGGAACCCUAUUGACGUGCAAUGUGAUGGCAUUUAACAACUUCCAUUAAUAAGAAUUGCACUUUUGACACAAUAGUUUGACGGGGAGGAGAGUUUUGAGCGGAAAUAUAAUUUAAGGUAAAUAUGAAAUAUUUCAGAUAGUUUAAGGAUAUCUUUGACCCUUUUAUGUUAAAACUAUAUGAAUACUUAUGUCUAAAAAACAUUGUAUAAAAUUAAAAGGAAAUUAAAUCAUGGAAGAUGGUAGGCUAUACUGAAUAUGUUGUAGUAACAACAAACAUAUAUAAACUAUUAAGUUGUAUAAAUAUUUUUUAUUUAUUAUAAUCAAACAAAUAAAAGUUAAUCUUUAAAAAUUAAAUAAAAUGAUUACAUGGAGUCCCAUGAAACAAAACUUUUUGUGACUCUUGAAAAAGAUUAUUGGAUACUUCUAGAAAAUUAUUUUGACCACUGAUUAUGCAAUUAUAAAGUUGUAAUUUUGCCCAUAAAUAAUGUUUAAAAUUACAAUAUUGUCAUUGGUCAUCCUAAUCAUGACUCUUCUAUAUAAUAGAAAUAAUAAUAACUAGAUAUCAGGUGCCCGUGCUAACGCAAACGCAACGUAUGUUAGAUUUUUCUUCUUCCAAUUUAUGUGACAAAAAUGAAAUUUGAAAAAAAUGAACUAAAUUUUUUAUAUGUGUUUUUUUUAAAAAAUAUUUUAAAUUAUUAAUUUAUGUAUCUUUUUUGUCAUUUUCGAAUAAUAUAUGUUACUUUAUCUAUUUUAUUUUAUAUGAUACAAGUGAUUUUAGGAAAGUAAACGAAAUUUCUUAUAUGAUUUUCAUAUAUUUUUAGUUGUCAUUUUACUGCGAUUCAUAGUACUUUUUAGUUAUUACGUUAUUUUCAAACAAUAUAUGCAACUUUUUUUUUGUUUCAAUAAAAAUAAGGGAGUCAACAAAAUUUCAUUAUGUUUUUUCAACUACAUUUUUCUAAAAAUAUUUUAAAUUGUUACAUUGCUUUUUAAAGUUUUUUUAAAUGUAACUUUCAAAUAUGUAACAAAUUAGAAAUUAAAACGAAGAAUUAAAGUUUUCAAAUCAUUAUAUUUCUAUAUUAGAAUAUUAAAACCUUUAAAACUACAUAUAUAUGCAUAAAUUAGUAGAAGGAAGCCUAACAACUUAUUUUUAAAAAAAUAUAUGAGAGCUCAUUUUAAUAGUAAUACAUACAUAUUUCAUUUUUCAAUAUCCGAAUCCCUCCUUUUCGAUUUAUAUAAAUUUAAUUUAAUUUAAUUUUUAUUUUGUUUCAAAAAGAAAAUAACUUCUGAAUUUUAUUUGUUUAUAAAGCAUAUUUAAGAUCACAAAAUCAAAAAAAAAUAUUUCAAUUCACAAAAUUUAAAUAUACAUAUAAAUUUUAAUUUUAAUUUUGAUUGGUUCCACCUAAUAUUAUACUUGAUAUAUAAUUAUUAAGAGCUAAGCGUAAUCAUUAUCUAUUUACUUUCGUAUAAUAAAUAGAUAUCACAAUAACUCUUAAAAAAUGAAGAAAUAACGAAAAUGAGAUAAUACUAAUAAUAAUCACUAAAGAUUUUCUAGAACUAGUUAAAUUUCUUGUUAUCAAUCGUGUUAGUUUUUUGCUUGCAUAAAUUACAUUUUUACCUUCGAUCAUCAUUCACUUCAUAUAUAGAAAGAUGUUUCUAGAAUUAUUUAUUCUUGAUAAAUUAUUGUUAGAAUGAAAUUACAUUUUAUUCUUAGUCGUCUUUAAUACAAAGUAUCAUCCUAUUCAUUUUUUAUUUGUCAAGUUACUUUUUAAGAUCUUUUUCUUUAAUUUCAGUCUAAUAUAUAUUAUUAAUUUAUCACACUUAUUUAUUUUCAAGUAUAUUAUUAGAGUCAAAAUAAAGAUGAAAAUAAUUAAUUCAUGAUAACUUUUUAUAUAAAAAGUAGGCAUAUAUUAUAAGCAUAAUGAAUAGAAAAAAAUAUUAAGAAUUAAUUUAAAGUAAUAGUAAAGUAGAGUAAUUAUAAAAUAGAUAUCACAAUAACUCACAAAAGAAAAGAAAGUGAAGUGAUAACAAAAUAAGUUAAUGGUAAUAAUAAUAACUUAAAAUAUUUCUAGAACUAUUAUUUUUAUUUUUUUUUGUUAUCAUUCUUCAUAGAUUUUUGUUAGCAUGAAAUUAUAUUUUUGCUGUAACGACCUGUUUAGUCGUUUGGAGCAGCAGAGUUAAUUUCUGAAAAUCACUGUCUGGGUCGACGGAUCCCACGACAGACCGUCAUGGGCACGACGGACCGUCGAGGGUGUCUCGUGCCAAAACACUUAGAAUUUAGAAAUUUGGGUACUGAGAUCGACUCUCUGAACUUCACGACGAAAUGGCAGGACGGACCGUUGAGGGCUCGACGGACCGUCACAAAUCCUUCCGCAGAAUUAACUCUCUGAACCUUGUGACGGACGUGCAGGACGGACCGUCACAGUUGUGACGGACCGUCACAGGCUGCGUGACCCUGACUGGGUCGGAUUUCUGUUAAAUAUUUUAAGGGGCGUUUUGGACUAUUCCUACUUAUAAUUAUAAAGUUAGUGGUUUAAUGUUAAUAAUUUAAUUACUUGGGGGUUAAAAGAGAGAACCUUGAAACAAAUAGUGGGAUAUUUUAUCAUCUUUUAUACUUAAUUAUAUGCUAAUUAGGGUAAAAGAAAGAGGGUUUGAAUAAGAAAAAGAAAAAGAACAGAGAGAGAGGGAGAAACGAUCGAUUGAGAGAGAAGAAGAACGCAGCUUUGGGAAAGUAGAUUGCUUGAUCACAAUCCUUCGGUGGAGGUAGGUUAUGGUUUAUGCUAUUCGUAGUAAACUCUUAAUAGCGAAUGAUAUGUAUUGGGUAGUGUUGUAAACCCUUCUAUAUGCUUAAUUGUAUGCUUGCAUGAAUGUGAUUAUAUAAUUGUGAUAAAAUAAGCAUGAUGAAGCUAUUGAAUCCUAAAUCUUGAAAAUCCUAAUCUACUUUGUUAAUGAUGAUGCCUUGGUAUAAAAGAAGGCUUGAUGAACGAAAGUAGUAAGAUUAGGGGAUCGGAGUGUCACGUUCCGACACCAGGAUAGUAUAUGGAUCGGGUGCCACGUUCCGGUACCAGGAUAGUAUAUGAGGAUCGGAGUGUCACGUUCCGACACCAGGAUAGUAUAUGGAUCGGGUGCCACGUUCCGGUACCAGGAUAGUAUAUGAGGAUCGGAGUGCCACGUUCCGGUACAAGGAUAGUAUAUGAGGAUCGGAGUGUCACGUUCCGACACCAGGAUAGUAUAUGGAUCGGGUGCCACGUUCCGGUACCAGGAUAGUAUGAUGAGGAUCGGAGUGUCACGUUCGGACACCAGGAUAGUAUAUGGAUCGGGGUGUCACGUACCGACACGAGAGAAAUAAAGAUAAUGAAUCUUGAAAGAUGUUAAUAUACUCAAUUUAAUGAACCUAAUUCCCAAAUGAGUAUGAUGGGGAGGCGUGAGUCCUCAUUGAUGUGCUUGGUGUUGUGACCAAGAGUUAUGAUAAUUAUAAAUGCCGCAUGUUGAGUAUUGUAGUUGAUUUUAUGAUAUAUCUGAUAUAUACUAUUUUCUAUUUUGAGUUGGCCGAUGAUAUCUACUCAGUACUCGUGUUUUGUACUGACCCCUACUUGUAAUUGUUUUUCUUUGUUAUUUGUGGAGUGCAGCAAACGUACCGUCGUCUUCAACUCAACCGCAACUCUAGCCAGUCUUCAUUACACCGGAUUUCAGGGUGAGCUAACGCUUCUAGCUUGGACUGGAUCUUCUUCUUCAUGUCUUGAUGCCUUGAAGUUCCGGCAUGGACUAGCUUUUUAUUUAUUCUAGCUUUCUAAAUACUCUUAGAAUUAGUAAUUUGAGGAUAGAUGUUCUUGUGAUGAUGACUUCCAGAUUUUGGGAAUAAUAAGUAUUGAGUUUUUAGAAGUUAUUUAACCGAUUUUCAUUAAUGAGUUUAAGUCUUCCGCAUUAUAUUCUGUUUAUUAUGGUUCAAAUGUUGGGGUUUAGAUUGGUUGGUUCGCUCACAUAGGAGGGUAAGUGUGGGUGCCACUCGCGGCCCGCUUUGGGUCGUGACAUUUGCCCUUGAUUAUUAUUCACUUCAUAUAUAGAAAGAUGUUUCUAGUAUUAUCAAUUAUCUUGCUUAAUAGAUUUUUGUUAGCGUGAAAUUACAUUUUUGCCCUUAAUCGUCCUCCCACUUCACUCUUCUAUAUAAUUGAAUAGAAAUACAUUAUAUAAAAUAAAUAUUUAUAAAUGAUUAUAAGUUUUCUAUAUCCUUUUUAUAGUGAUUAAUUUACAAUAGGUAAAUGGAUAUGUAUGGGUAAUAAAAUAUAUAUGAGAAUAGUAAUUUAAUUGUGAUAUAUGGCAAAUUCAUCAAAUAGUCAGUCUCUAAUAAUUUAUAUAUUAGUAGUGAAGUAUAAUGUUAAAUUUUAAACGAGGAUUUACAUAACGUGAGAAAGACUUCUUUUCUUUUUUAUUUUCUCAAGAGAUUUUUACAUUUUAAAAUUAGUUUAUAACUUAACAUUAAAUUACUUUAUAUGUAUUUUACUUAUUCAAACUCUCACAUAAUUACUUGUACAUUUGUUUAUUUAUGGUCUUCAUAUAUAACCCCUAGUAUAGCCUUGCUAAACUAAAUUUUGAAAAUUAUUACUAGUAAGGUGUUUGUUUCCUCACCUCAUAUAUUUACAUCAUAUGCAUAAAAAUUAUGUAAAAUGAAUAACAUAUUUUUUUAUUUAUUUUUAAAGAGACUAGUUAUUUGGGGCCGCUAAAGCCUACUUCAAAAUUAGCAAAUCAAAAGAAAGGAAGUGUACCUAUCAACCAAGUAAAAAUGUCAACUACUUCUAAAAAGUUUGGACAAUUUUUAAGACUAUGAAAAUAUAGAGACAUAGUAAAAUAUUGCGUGAAUCACUUAAUAAAAUCGAAAACAUAAUAUAUUGGAGAUAGUUUUACUAAAAAUAAUUUUACAAUAAAAUUGAAAUGUGUACAUAUUUAUUGAAUUGUGGGUAUAGAGACAAUUUUUAAGCUUUUUUCUGAUUUACAUAUAUUAAAUCGCGAAAGAAGUCAUGUGUUCUUAAUAAAAUAAUCGCUAAUGGCAAUUAUAUUUGCUGCUAAAAUUCUUCCUCUAAAUAACUUAAUUUACACUUUUAGCGUUUAAGACGCAAUGUCCAUCUUAAACUAAUAAAUAUGAGAAAUAAAUAAACUCAAUUGGGGGAUAACAAUUUCUUAAUUAGUAUGUUAUAUAUACAUUAUUUCAAUUAUACUUUCGAGUUUUGAUAUUACGAAAAUAUAAUGUCAAACUUUAAAGACAAGAAUUUACAAAUGAGAACGACUUUUUUUUAAAAUAUAAUGUCAAACUUUAAAGACAAGAAUUUACAAACCAUGAGAACGACUUUUUUUUAUUAUACGUUUUAUUAUAUAUAUAUAUAUAUACAUACACACACACAUAUAUAUACAUAUAUCAUUGACUCUAUAUAUAUAAGAUAGGAAAGAGGUUAAAAUAUAUCAUUGAACUUUCAGAAAAAAACUCAUUUAUUCAUCAGUUAAAAGUUUGGCUCAUUUAUGCCAUUACCGUUUAAAAAAGAUUCAUUCUUGCCAUUAUUUUUUAAUAAUGGUUUCGCAAAACCAUUUUUAAUACGUGACCAAUUAUAAUCGGCUACGUCCUCAAUUUAUUUAAUUAAAAAAUCAUCAUUCUAAAAAAAAUUGAAUUCAUUUUUUUUGAUUUUUUUAUUAAAUAAAUUGAUGACAUGGCUAAUUAGAAUUCAGUGGGAUUUCUUAAAUUUGGGCGGGUCUUUAUUUGAGUGGGGUUUUUAUUUAAUGUUUUCUCAGAAUUGAUUUUUUAUCAAAAAAAAAUAAAAAAUGAUGUGGCCGAAUCAUAACUUGUCACGUGUGAAAAGUGGUUGGGCAAAAUCGCCGUUAAAAACUAAUGGCAUGAAUGAGUCUUUUCCUAAAUGGUAAUAACAUGAACGAGUCAAACUUUUAACGGAUGACAUAAAUGAGUCUUUUCUAAAAGUUCAACGGCAUAUUUGAGCUUUUUCCCUUAUUAAAAAAGUGGCUUACAUACACUCAUAUUAUUACAUAAAUAUUCUAAAAUAUACCAUUUUGUUCUAACGGGAGUGAAAACAAAUAUUUUUUUAAACAUAAUUUUUUAUUUUUAAGAAGUAAAAUCUGAAUAUAUUAUCUUCCACUUUCCUAGAAAAUAUUAUCCUACAAGAUUUUUUAUUUUUAAAAUUAAAAUUAAUAUUUUCACUUCCAUUAGAUGAUGAAGAUAUACCUGAAUCACUUUUAUAAUGGUAAGGAUAUGUAUGAACUCUUUUAAUUCAAAUGUGAAUUAUUUUAUAAUGAGCGAUAUAACAAUUUUAAAUUGCAAAGUUAUGAAGACCUUUUUAUUUAGGGAAAAGGGUCUGAUAUACCCCUCAACUUUGUCAUUUAGAGCUGAUAUGCCCCUUGUUGUGAAAGUGGCUCAUAUAUACCCUUACUUGUAAACAAAUGGCUCACAUAUACCCUUUUCCUCUAACGGAAAUGGAAAAAAAAAUAAUUUUAAUCUAAUUUUUUAAUAUUUUUUGUCUAAAAAUUAUAAUCCCAUAUGAGUAAAUUUAAUCCUCGUAAAACAUAUUUUUUUUAACCUUUUUUAGUUUCAAUGACUAAUUUAUAAUUAUUAUUUUGAUAAUCAAAUUUAUUUAUGUUUCACUAAUAUUCUUGUAAAACUUAUUGUAGAUAACCAAAUUUUUUCUUCGAAUAUGAAAUUAAAUUACAAUACACACAAAAAAUAGUUUAAAUUUUUUCUCUUUAAACUAAGGAUUGAAAGAAAAAACAUAAGAAUAAGAAACUCAAAUAAUUAUAAUAAAAAAAGUCAAAAAAUAAUUUAUAUAUGAAAAAAAUCAAAAUAUACCUUGAACUUUGAUAGAAGAAUCAUAUAUAUCCCUAAAUAAUUUUUUUAAAAAAUUACAAGUAAUAAAUAUCAAUUUAAAACUAAUUUUUUAACUUCCGUUAAAUGAAGGGUAUAUAUGAGCCAUUUUGUAACGGGAGGGGUAUAUGUGAGCCGUUUGUAUAACGGUAAGGGCAUAUAUGAGCCACUUUUAUAACGGGGGGUAUAUUAGCUCCAAAUAACAAAGUUGAGGAGUAUAUCAGACUCUUUUUCCUUUUAUUUAUUGUAUAAAAGCAUUUCAUAUACUAGUUACAUAUUUAAAUAUUGAAAAUGUUGAUAAGAGAUCCCAUUAAAUGCUAAAGUAUUGGUAUUUUAAAAAAAUUUCCUUUUAUUUAUUGUAUAUAUCUAACAUCUCGUAACUUCAAAUAACUAAGAAUAAACUAAGAAAUCAAGAAUAAUCAUUUUUGGAAAUAAAUAGGAAAUCUGAAAAAUUUCCCAAGUGUAAAAGUGAGUUUUUGGUCAAUUUCAAACGACCAUAACUCCCAGCUUAGGAGGAGUUAGUGUGAGUUCCUUAUAUGGUUGGAAAUCCCUUGGAAAGAAAUUUCCAACAACGCCAAGUUUGUACAUUUUAGAUGUCGUAUGAAGGAGAUAUGACUUUCGAAAGUUUGGUUGUUGGAGUGAGGAAAAUUCAAUCCGGAUUUAGUAAGGAUAAAGUAGUCUUUUCACCCUAGUAUUUUCUAAUUCGUUUUAAGGGUUUAUUAGGGGUAAAAUCAAGUCCAUAUUCAGUUUUGAAAAAGUUGAGAACGCUCAUGGCUUGGGAGAAAAGAGAAGAGAAAACCAAAAUUUCUUCAAGAACGCUAAGGUUUCGCUAGAGGAAUUCAUCGGGGGUGAUCUCUAUCGAGGUAUAUGAGAUCUUUCUAUGUUGGGUUCGUUCACCCACACACCAACAUGUUUAUUUAGCAAUUUUUGUAUUGAUUGAAUAAUGAAUCUUGAAGUUCUUGAUGAGCAAUUGUUGAAUCCUUAUUGGUAGAGUUGUAGUGUACCUUUAGUUGGUGUUGAUUCGUAUUUUCAGGCUGUUUUACGAGUCUAAACUAUUGGGUAUUGAGUAUAUUAGUGAUUGAUACGCUCAAACUUACUUUUUAAAUAAGAAGUAAAGCAGUAAAUGGGGGUUUCUAUUCCUAAAUAAAUGAAAAUAACUAGCGAAAUUAAAGGAGACAACUAACAACUUCGAAUGUUGGAGUUUAAUCACUUAAUCAAAGUAACUAGGGUUUACGUGUUCCCCACAGGUUCAUAACUUGAUAAUUCUAACUAUAACAAUUCUUUCCUAGUAUCUUGCAUGCAAAGUGAUAAGUUAUGUAUUUCUAAAUCCUUGGUCCGGCAUCUAGAAAAUUUCACUCGGCACCUUGGUCCGACUACGUGUGUUGCUAUACUAACCCUUAUAUUUACCUCAUAUUAAGCAUCGUAUUCGAUAUUUGACUAAGUUAUUACCCCGUACCAAUCAAUACUAGCCUAUUAGAUAGUAUACACUAAAUUUAUAUUGAUAAUUCUUUUCCUAUUAUCUUCCUCCUUGGUCCGACAAGUAGCAUUAAGGCGAGUUCUAACGUUGGCCAUCCGUUAAAAAGACUUCCAAGCGAAAGAAUUAUCAAUACAUGCAAGACACUAUUCUAGAAUUGUUAUUUUAGUUAGAUUUUACCUCAUUAUUCGCCUAUGGUUCCCACAACCCUAAUUAUGGAGUUUAGUUACCCAUAAUCAUAAUCACAAUAUUCAAAUAUAUGAUAUAAGAAUUCAUGCACUUACUUCAAUGAGAAAGAGUAAAAUCCAAAAGUUAGCUUGAUUAAUCAACAAUCAAUUACAAGAAUAUCAAAAUAAUCAAGAAUCUCACAAAAAGUCUAAAAAAUAAUCAAGAGUCUAACAAUAAUCAAGGGCCUAACCAAAUAAUCCAGAGUCUAACCUCAAAAACGAGGUUUUUCAAACUAUUUAUAAAAAAUAAAAACCUAAUUACAUAAGGACUCUAUUUGCUGGAAAUCUGUCAAAACGCGGCUGGGUCAACGGACCUCGCGACGCAUCGUCGUGGUCACGACGGACCGUCAUGGACACGACGGACCGUCAUGGACUCCGUCGUCCCAUACUUGAUGCAAUUUCUUAUGCUGCUCUCUUCAUUACUCUCGACAGCAGGUAUGAUGGAUCGUUACAGGCACAACGAUCCGUCGAGGGUCUCCGUUCCAAAACACUUGAACUCUUGGAAUAUGGGUACUGGGACUACUUCUCUGAACUUCAUGACGAACCUGCAGGACGGACCGUCAUGGAUACGACGGUCCGUCACGCAUUUUGUAACCCCACACUUGGUCAGACUUCCCCAUUUUCCUUCAGCAGCUGCACUACGUUGCCACCUACGGACCGUCACGAGCAUGACGGACCGUCACAAGCAUGACGGACCGUCACAAGCAUGACGGACCGUCACAAGCAUGACGGACCGUCACAAGCUCCGUAGGUGGUCUCUUCUGCAUUUCUUUGCUCAAAAACCUCCGCAUUCAUCUUUGGAUAGAUUUCCUGCAAAUAAGGAGAAACUUAUAUAAAAAUUAGCACAAAAAGAUUUUGGACACACUAACUUAAGGAAAAAAUAUUAAUAAUACCGUGACACCAUAGUAUAUCAGUGAUCCUAAGUGUUUGGGAAAAAUCCAUGAAUGUUUUGAAGGUUUAGAGUUGAAAAUCGGAGAAGAAAAGUCAGAAAACUCGUCUGACAGGUCUUGUGGCACCGUGCCUACAAGAGCCCCUCAGGACAGACUCUUUCUGUCAGGCUCUGGCGCGCCGCCGUGCCAGCUAGAGCGCCUGAAGACAGUGUCUGUCGGUCAGGCGCUGGUGCCCCGCGCCUCUCAGAGCGCCAGGGUCACCUGGAGAUUCUAUUUCUCUCCCAUCUUUUCGUACGAGUUCCUAAGUGACGUAUCUAUUAUUUCUAGUUAGUUCCAAUACUCUAAAGUAAAUAUAAACAUUAUGAAAUCAUCCAUAAUAAUGAGAUCAGGAUCCGUGAAUGCAUAAUCCAAUUCAAGGGAAGUUAAGAUCAAAGUCAAAAAAAGUUAAGAGUCAAGUCUAAAAGUUAAAAAACAAGUCAAAGUAAGUUCCUAAAGCAUUCAAGAGUCUUAAACAAACAUUUUAACUUUGUUUUAAGGUUCAAGCAAUGAGUUGAGCAAAGAGUAAAAGAGUUGAGUUAAAUUUUCAAAAGCUAUAAGGGAACUAAGUAUUCCCUAAGAGUUAAGUUUCAAGUUAAGCAAAUAGUAACAAGUUGAGUUCACUUCUCAAGAGUUAGAAGGGAACUAAGUAGUCUCUAACAGUUUAAACAAGAUGUUUUUAAACUUUUGAGAAAGAAAGGAAGCUAGACUUCCACAGAGCCUAUGACUAGUUUUAGUAAAAGAAAAAGGAAACUAUGAUUUCUAAGAAAGUUUUUGAAGCAAAGUUUGAGAAAUUAUCUCAAACUAGAGAAGAAGUUGUUUUAAAAAAACAUAUGAGCUAAGUAUUUUGGGAGUAGUAUUGAGCACCGAUAUGGUGACGCGAGUUCAUAUUAACUCAAGUCUCCAUAAACCAUUGAGCCAACAUGGAGAUAUAAAAGAUCAUACUUUUUAGAUGAUUCCUUAGUAAUUUUAGCAUAGACUAGUGAAUCCUCUUAGUAGUUCAGGUUCUAUAUCGACGACAAGGUAUAGAGUGGUCCUCUUGCAACAUGAGGUAAUACGUUGUACCAUCACUUAGGCUCAUAGAUGGUUGUCGGUUAGAUAAUCUCUCAAAGAAAUUAUAAUACUUUCAAAUAUAUGAGUAAAGUUGAGUUUAUUAUUGAUUUAUCUUUAAUGAACUAAGUGUUUACACUGUUUUACAAGCUUUUCUUAUAUCGCAUGUGUCCUUACUGCUUUAUAUUGAGUCGUUAUUAAUGAGUUGAGCAGAACCAAGGUAAGUUCUUCCUUACUCCUUUCAAGCCUUAUAGUAGUGUUUAGUAUUCCAAUUCGCAUACUCGUUUGGCCUGCAUGCAUCGUCUUAUAAUGCAGAAGCAGGUAAUUAGGAUCAACAUGCAGCACUUUGUUGAACCAGUUUGAGCUCUAGAGUCAGUGGUGAGCCUCCAUGCAUUUCGGAGGAUCCUUUUAUUGCUAUCUAGUUAGUUCAAUAGAAUGUUGUGGGGUUUGUCCCAACAUUCAUCUCAGUCAGUUUAGAGGUUUCAUAGACGGAUAGUAGUAGUUAAGUUGUGUCUCUUUAUUUCAGAUUCUAUAUUUGAGACUUAAGUGCAAAUUUGGCCAAGACAGUAUUUAAAGUCAUUUUUAUGAGAACUUCUUCAAUUCUAUAACUGAAUUAAGUUGAGUCUUCCGCUGAGUUAAGUAAGUCAGACCAAGAGUUCCCUUGAGGCCAGCAAUGGUCACCAAGUGCUAGUCCCACCCAGGGUAUAAGCUCGGAGCAUGCUAAUAUAUGCAUUUCAUAUACGACUUACGUAUUCAGAUACUUUUAACAUUUUGUUAGAGCAGAAGAGUCUUAACUUAUAUAUGUAGGUGAAGUAUUGAUAUAUUGGGAUAUUGGUACUUAUUAUUAUUUUACUUUAAUACUUAUUUAUAAGUCUACAACACACGGUAAGCACACACAAGGUGCUCAACAUGUGUGCUUGAAGUAAAUUUAAUUUUGAAUGAGGUUAAUUUGGUCAUUUUAUAUAAUACUCAAUGUUUCUUUUACUUGUACAAAAUGCAAAAUUGCUUUUAUGGACAUCAAAUGACCAAAAACCCAGUAUCCUUUAACUCAUUGUCAUAUGUUAUAGAACAUUGCAAUUGGUUGAAAAUGAACUUUAAUGUAGUUGCAAUAUAAUUAUUUUUACUUCUUGUCAAAACUGCCCCUAUGCGGCUUAAGCUUAUUUUAUCAACUAUUUGUUAUUACGUGGAGAAAUUAAAGACAUCUUUAGAUGAGUCCUUUUAAGCGGUACCGACCUAGAUAUAUAUAUUCUUUUCGUUUUAUUUAUGUCAUUUUUACUAAAAAUAGGUAAUAUUUAAUAUUUAUCAUUUCACAAAAGUAAUGCAUUAUAUAGUAAUGAAAUCGACUCUCUGAACUCUGUGACGGACCGUCACAGGUACGACGAACCGUCGUGAGCCCCGUUUCAAAACACUUCAACUCUUGAGAAUUUGGUACAGGGAACGAUUCUCUGAACGUCAUGACGGAGGUGCAGGACGGACCGUCGUAGGUACGAUGGGCGUCACAGACUCCUUAAGGAAAUCGAGUCUUUGACGAACCUGCAUGACGGACCGUCGCAGGCACGACGGGCCGUCGCAGGUUGCGCAAUCCCAGUCUAGGUCAGAUUUCUUUACACAUUUUAAGGGACGUUUUUGACUAUUCCUUCUUUAAUUAUAAAGUUAGUGGGUUAAUGUUAAUAAGUCUAAUUACUUGGGGGUUAAAGAGGUAACCUCAAGUUAAUUAGUGGGUUAUUAUUGCCAUCUUUCAUUCUUAAUUAUAUACUAAUUAGGGUAAAAGAAAGAGGGUUUGAAUAAAGAAAAUAGAAAGAACACAAAGAGAGAGAGGGAGAAUCGAACGAGAAGGUGAAAAGAAGAGGAGAAACACAAAGCUUUGGGAAAUUGCUUGCUUGAUUUCUUGUCUUCGGUGGAGGUAGGUUUUGGUUUUCAUGCUAUUCGUAGUAAACUCUUAAUAGCGAAUGAUAUGUGUUAGUAGUAUUGUAAACCCUUCUAUAUGCUUAAUUGUAUGCUUGCAUGAAUGAUGUGAUUAUGGAAUUAUGAAUAAAUAAGCAUGAUGAAGUUAUUGAAUCCCAAAUCUUGAAAAGAAACCUAAUCUACUUUGUUAAUGAUGAUGCCUUGGUAUAAAAGAAGGCUUGAUGAACGAAAGGGGUGAGAUUAGGGGAUCGAGUGCCACAUUCUGGUACCAGUAUAGAGAUAGAGGAUCGGGUGCCACGUUCCGGUACCAGGAUAGAAUGAGGAUCGAAGUGUCACGUUCCGACACCAGGAUAGUAUAUGGAUCGGGUGCCACGUUCCGGUACCAGGAUAGAAUGAGGAUCGGAGUGUCACGUUCCGACACCAGGAUAGUAUAUGGAUCGGGUGCCACGUUCCGGUACCAGGAUAGAAUGAGGAUCGGAGUGUCACGUUCCGACACCAGGAUAGUAUAUGGAUCGGAGUGUCACGUACCGACACGAGGGGAAUAAAUAUAAUGAAUCUUGUAAGAUGCUAAUAUACUCAAUUUAAUGAAACUAAUUCCCAAAUGAGUAUGAUAUUGAGGCUUGAGUCCUCACGUGUGAACUUGACGGUAUUUGUUAAUGAUAUAGUACUUGUUGUUGCUACAUGUUGAGUAUCAUAGUUGAUUUUAUGAUAUUGCUUAAUAUAUAUUGUUUUCUAAUUUCGAGUUGACCGAUGAUAUCUACUCAGUACCCGUGUUUUGUACUGACCCCUACUUUUGUGUUUUCUUCUUUGUUAUUUGUGGAGUGCAGCAAACAUGCCGUCGUCUUCGACUCAACAGUAUUCAAGCCAGUCUUUACUACACCGGAAAUUCAGGGUGAGCUAAUGCUUCUAGCUUGGACUGGAUCUUCUUCUUCAAGUCUUGAUGCCUUGAACUUCCGGCAUGGACUAGCUUCUUAUGUAUUUUUAGCUUCUUAGACAUUUUUAGUUAGUAAUUUGAUCAUAGAUGUUCUUGUGAUGAUGACUUCCAGAUUUUGGGGAAUAAUAGUUAUUGAAUUGGUUUUUAUUUAAUGAGCUUAAGUCUUCCGCAUUAUUUUCUAUUGAUAUACGUUGAAAUGAUAAGGUUUAGAUUGGUUGGUUCGCUCACAUAGGAGGGUAAAUGUGGGUGCCAGUCGCGGCUCGGUUUUGGGUCGUGACAAACCUUGUAUCAGAGCAUUAGGUUCGUUGGUCUCAUCACACAAGAACGAGUCUAGUAGAGUCUUAAGGAACGGUAGGGGGGCGCCUUUACUUUUCUUUGAGGGGCUAUAAGACUUUAGGAAAUUCCAUUCUUUCUUAUCUCUUUCGUGAUACUACUUGAAUCCAAUUGGUAUCUAGGUGAUUCAAAUUGGUAUCUGACCAUCUUCACUCUAUUUCGCAGAUGGUUAGAACUAGAUCAACGACUGCGCCAACACCAACACCGGCAAGACAAGAAACGUCUGAGCCAGCCACUGGGGCUGUGGCUCAAGGAAGAGCAAUAGCAAGAGGUCGUGGUAGAGUUCGUGGGAGGACGUCCUCUAGAGGGAGAGGACGAGUACCUAGCCCAUCUGAUGCUAGGGCGGUGACUCCUCCACCGACUGAGGAAGUAGUAAGAGAGGGUGAGGAAGGGGAGAAUGAACAAGUGCAAAAUGAUGAAUUGCCACCCCAACCUACCCCAGAGAUGAUCAAUCAGGUUCUCGCUUAUCUUAGUGGGUUAUCUGAUUAGGGCCAGACACCUCCAGUGUUUUCUGCACCAGUACCUCAGGUUCCGGAGGUACAACAUGCGGCUACUAUGGCUCCUCGUAUGGAUGCCUCAUUGGACAUAGGCACGUUUCCACGUCUGACUACUGGGCCUAUAAUGACAAAUGAUCAGCAUGAACUUUUCAGUAAGUUCUUGAAAUUGAAACCCCAGUCUUCAAGGGUGCUGAAUCUGAGAAUGCUUACGAUUUUCUGGUUGACUGUCAUGAGCUACUACACAAGAUGGGUAUAGUAGAACGGUUUGGUGUUGAGUUCGUGAGUUAUCAGUUUCAAGGGAACGCCAAAAUGUGGUGGCGGUCACAUGUUGAGUGUCAACCAACAGAGGCACCACCUAUGACUUGGGCCUCAUUCUCUAGCUUGUUUUGGAGAAGUGUGUCAACCAACAGAGGCACCACUAUGACUUGGGCCUCAUUCUCUAGCUUGUUUAUGGAGAAGUAUAUCCCCCAGACUUUGAGGGAUAGGAAAAGGGAUGAGUUCUUGAGCCUAGAUCAAGGUAGGAUGUCGGUUAAUGCAUAUGAGGCUAGGUUUCGCGCACUAUCCAGGUAUGCCACUCAACUUUGUUUCAGUCUACAAGAGCGGAUUCGCCGGUUUGUGAAGGGGUUGAGGUCAGAGUUGCGGAUUUCGGCCUUACAGGUAGCGGCUACGGCAAAAUCCUUCCUAGAAGUGGUAGACUUCGUGAUAGAGGUGGAAGGAGUGAAGCCCAAUGACUUCACCUCGACAUCGACAUCAAAAAGGUUUCGAAAGGGAGGUGAGUUUAAUGGUUCUUACCCUAGGGGAUAGGGUUUCGGAGGUUACUCAGUCCGACCGAUUCAGUCUUCACUACAGACUGUAGUUGGGGGUCCACCUCAGCCGGUCAAAACUUCCUGAGGAGACCUAUGCAUGAACCAAGAAAGUGCUAUGGAUGUGGGUUUCAAUUUUGGAGAUUAAAUAAAUAUUAAUUUUGAAGAUAAAUAAAAAAAAGAUUUACUAACCUACACCAGGCGAAGAUCCCACUUUGAAACCCGCGACGAAGAAAACUUUUGAAAACUCUUACCGCGAUGAGGGUGAAAGAGUAAAAUCAUUUUCUGGAAAAUAAUGAAAACGAGGGGAAAAGCGUAAUAAGAUUUAAGGCAAUUUAGUCUAUGUGGUAGUGCCCUAUUGACAGCAAUAUGGAAUUCAACAUAGCGAAUUUAACAACUUCUCUUAUUAGAAGGGCAUUUUGACACAAUAGUUUCACGGAAGGGUACUUUUUGAGCCGAAAUAUACUUUUAAGGGUAAAUAUGAGUUAUUUUCAGAUAUUUAAGAGUAUUUUUUACUCCUUUUACCUUUUAGUCUACGUGGUAGUGGACCCUAUUGACCGUGCAAUGUGAUGGCAUUUUACAAUUCAUUACAGAAUUGCACUUUUUGACACAAUAGUUUUGACGGGGAGGAGAGUUUUUUGAGCGGAAAUAUAAUUUAAAGGUAAAUAUGAAUAUUUCAGAUAGUUUAAGGAUUCUUUGAGACCCUUUUAUGUUUAAAACUAUAAUGAAUCUUAAUGUCAAAAAACAUUGUAUAAAAUUAAAGGAAAUUAAAAUUCAUGGACAGAUGGUAGGCUAUACUGAAUAUGUUGUAGUAAACAAACAUAUAUAAAACUAUUAAGUUGUAUAAUAUUUUUUAUUUAUUAUAAUCAAACAAAUAAAGUUAUCUUUAAAAUUAAAAUAAAAUGAUUACAUGGAGUCCCAUGAAACAAAAUUUUUGUGACUCUUGAAAAAGAUUACUGGAUACUUCUAGAAAAUAUUUUGACCACUGAUUAUGCAAUUAAUAAAGUUGUAAUUUUGCCCAUAAUAUGUUUAAAUUACAAUAUUGUCAUUGUCCAUCCUAAUCAUGGAAUCUUCUAUAUAAUAGAAAUAUAAUAACUAGAUUCAAGGGUGCCCGUGCUAACGCCAACGCAACGUAUGUUGAUUUUUCUCUUCCAAUUUUAUGUGACAAAAAUGAAUUUGAAAAAAUGAACUAAAUUUUUUAUAUGUGUUUUUUUUUAAAAAAUAUUUUAAAUUAUUAAUUUAUGUACUCUUUUUUGUUGUCAUUUUUGAAUAUAUCUGUUACUUUAUCUAUUUUAUUUUUUAUGAAAUACAGUGAUUUUAGGAAAGUAAACGAAAUUUCUUAUAUGAUUUUCAAUAUAUUUUUAGUUUGUCCAUUUUACUGCGAUUCAUAGUUACUUUUAGUUAUUCACGUUAUUUUCAAACAAUAUAUGCCAAGCUUUUUUUUUGUUUCAAUAAAAAUAAGGGAGUUUCAACAAAAUUUCAUUAUCGGGUUUUACUCAUUUUUUCUAAAAAUUAUUUUAUUGUUCAUUGCUUUUUAAAGUUUUUUUUAAUGUAACUUUCAAAUAUGUAACAAUUUAGAAAUUAAACGAAGAUUAAAGUUUUCAAUCAUUAUAUUUCUAUAAUUAAGAAAAUUAAAUCGCUUUUAAAACUACAUAUAUAUUGCAUAAAUUAGUAAGAAGGAAGCCAACAACUUAUUUUUUAAAAAAAUAUUGAGAGCUCAUUUUUAAAUAGUAAUACAUAAUAUUUCAUUUUUCAUCAUCGAAUCCCUGCUUUUCGGAUUUUAUAUAAAUUAUAAUUUAAUUUAAUUAUUUUUAUUUGUUCAAAAAGAAAAUAACUUCUGAAUUUUAUUUGUUUAUAAAGAUAUUUAAGAUCACAAAAUCAAAAAAAAAAUAUUUCAAUUCACAAAAUUUAAAAAUAUACAUAUAAAUUUUAAUUUUAAUAUUUGAUUGGGUUCACCUAAAUAUUAUACUUGAUAUAUAAUUAUUAAGAGCUAAGCGUAUCAUUAAUCUAUUUACUUUCGUAUAAUAAAUAGAUAUAGCAAUAACUCUUAAAAAAUGAGAAAUAAAAACGAAAUGAGAUAUACUAAUAAUAAUCACUAAAGAUUUUCUAGAACUAGUUUAAAUUUCUUGUUAUCAAUCGUGUUAGUUUUUUUGCUUGCAUAAAUUUCAUUUUUACUUCGAUCAUCAUUCACUUCAAUAUAUAGAAUAAUGUUUCUAGAAUUAUUUAUUCUUGAUAAAUUAAUUGUUAGAAUGAAUUACACAUUUUAUCUUAGUCGUCUUAUACAAAGUAUCACCUAUUUUUUUUAUUUGUCAAGUUACUUUUUAAGAUUUUUUAUUUAUUUCAGUCUACUAUAUAUUAUUAAUUUAUCACACUUUAUUUAUUUUCAAGUUAUUAUAGAGUCAAAAUAAAGAUUGGAAAAUAAUUAAUUCAUGAUACUUUUUAUAUAAAAAGUAGGCAUAUAUUAUAAGCAUAAUGAAUAGAAAAAAAUAUUAAGAAUUAAUUAUUAAGUAAUAGUAAAGUAGCAGUAAUUAUAAAUAGAUAUAACAAUCUCACAAAAGAAAAGAAGUGAAGUGAUAACAAAAUAAGUUAAUGGUAAUAAUAAUACUUAAAAUAUUCUAGAACUAUUAUUUUUUUUUUUUUUUGUUAUCAUUCUUCAUAGAUUUUUUUUGUUAGCCAUGUGAAUUAUAUUUUGCCUGUAACGACCUGUUUAGUCGUUUGGAGCAGCAGAGUUAAUUUCCUGAAAAUCACUCGUUGGGUCGAUCGGAUCCACGACGAAACCGUUUCAAAAAAUGGGCCCAAAAAAAAAACGAACCGGACGUCGAGGGUGUCUCGUGCCAAAACACUUAGAAUUUAGAAAUUUGGUACUGAGAUCGACCUCUGAACUUCACGACGAAAUGGAGGACGGAACCGUUGAGGGGCUCGACGGACGUCAAAAUCCUUACCGCAGAAUUAACUCUCUGAACCUUGUGCACGGAACGUGCGGACGGACCGUCAAGUUGUGACGGACCGUCACAGGCUGCGUGACCUGACUGGUCCGGAUUUUCUGUUAAUAUUUUAGGGCGCGAUUUUGGACUAUUCUACUUUUAUACACUUAUCAAGUUUAGUGGUUUAAUGGUUAAUAAUUUAAUUACUUGGGGUUUAAAGAGAGAACCUUGGAACAAAUAGUGGGAUAUUUUAUCAUCUUUUUAUACUUAAUUUAUAUGCUAAUUGGUAAAAGAAAGAGGGUUUGAAUAAAAAAGAAAAAAGAGCAGAGAGAGGGGAGAACGAUCGAUUGAGAGAGAAGAAGAACGCAGCUUUGGGAAAGUAGAUUGCUUGAUCACAAUCCUUCGGUGGAGGUAGGUUAAUGGUUUACUUGCUAUUCGUAGUAAACCUUAAUUAGCGAAUGAUAUGUUUUGGGUAUGUUGUAAACCCUUUAUAUGCUUAUUGUAUGCUUUGCAGAAGUGAUUAUUAUUGUGAUAAAUAAGCAUGAUGAAGCCUUUGAUCCUAAAUCUUGAAAAUCCUAAUCUACUUUGUUAAUGAUGAUGCUUUGGUAUAAAGAAGGCUUGAUGAACGAAAGUAGUAAAGAUUAGGGGAUCGGAGUGUCACGUUCCGACACCCAGGAUAGUAUAUGCGAUCGGGUUGCCAACGUUCCGGUACCAGGAUAGUAUAAUGAGGAUCGGAGUGUCACGUCGACACCAGGAUAGUAUAAGUGGAUCGGGUGCCACGUUCCGGUCCAGGAUAGUAAUAAUGAGGAUCGGAGUGCCACGUUCCGGUACAAGGAUAUUAUAUGAGGUCGGAUGUCACGUUCCCGACACCAGGAUAGUAUAGUGGAUUCGGGUGCCACGUUCCGGUACCAGGAUCAGUAUGGAUGAAGGAUCGGAGUGUCACGUUCGACACCAGGAAUAGUAUAUGGAUCGGGGUGCUCAGUACCAGACACGAGAGAAAUAAAGAAUAAUGAUCUUGAAAGAUGUUUAAUUAACUCAAUUUAAAUGAACGCUAAUUCCAAAUGAGUAUAGAGGGGAGGCAGUGAGUCCUCAUUGAUUGUGGCUUGGUGUUGUUGACCAAGAGUUAUGAUAAUUAUAAAUGCGCAUGUUGAGUAUUGUAGUUGAUUUUAGAUAUAUCUGAUAUAUAUCUGUUUUCUAUUUUUGAGUUGGCCGAUGAUAUCUACUCAGUCUCGUAGUUUUUGUACUGACGCCCUACUUGUAAUUGUUUUUGUCUUUGUUAUUUGUGGAGUGCAGCAAACGUACGUCGUCUUCAAUCAACGCAAACUCUAAGCCCGUCUUCAAUUACAACCGGAUUUCAGGGUGAGCUAACGUUCCUAGCUUGGACUGGAUCUUUUCUUCAUGUCUUGAUGCCUUGAAGUUCCGGAAUGGACUAGUUUUUUUAUUUAUUCUAUAGCUUUUCUAAAUACUCUUAGAAUUCAGUAAUUUGAGGAUAGACUUGUUCUUGUGAUGAUGACUUCCAGAUUUUGGGAAUAAUAAGUAUUAGAGUUUUUAGACGUUUAUUACAUUCAACAAGAUUAUAUACAUAUAUAAGAAGAUUUAGUCUUUCCGCAUUAUAAUUCUGUUUAUUAUGGUUCAAAUGUUGGGGUUUAGAUUGGUUGGUUUCGCUCACAUAGGGGGUAGUGUGGGUGCCACUCGGGUCCCGCUUUGGUCGUGACAUUUGCCCUUGAUCUAUUAUUCACUUUACAUAUAUAGAAGAUGUUUCUAGUAUUAUAUCAAUUAUCUUUGCUUAUAGAUUUUUGUUAGCGUGUGAAAUUAAUUUUGGACCUUAAUCGUCCUCCACUUCACUCUUCUAUAUAAUUGAAUAGAAAUAACAUUAUAUAAAAUAAAUAUUUAUAAAUGUUAUAAGUUUUCUAUAUCCUUUUUUUAUAGUGAUUAAUUAACAAAUAGGUAAAUCGGAUAUGUUCGGGUAAAAUAAAUAUAUAUGAGAAUGUAUUUAUUGUGAUAUAUGGCAAUUCAUCAAUAGUCAGUCUCUAAUAAUUUAUAUAUUAGUAGUGAAGUAUAUGUUAAAUUUUAAAACGAGGAUUUUACAUAAGUGGAGAAGACUUCUUUUCUUUUUUAUUUUCUCACGAGAUUUUACAUUUUAAAAUUAGUUUAUAACUUAACAUUAAAUUACUUUAUAUGUAUUUUACUUAUUCAAACUCUCACUAUCAAUAUUGUACAUUUGUUUAUUUUUGGUCUUCAUAUUAACCCUAGUAUAGCCUUGCUAAACUAAAUUUUGAAAAUUAUUAUAGUAAGGUGUUUGUUUCCUCACCUCAUAUAUUUACAUCAUAUGCAUAAAAAUUAUGUUAAAUGAAUCAACAAUAUUUUUUUUAUUUAUUUUUAAGAGAGCUAGUUAUUUGGGGCCGCUAAAGCCUACUUCAAAAUUAGGCAAAUCAAAAGAAGGAAGUGUACUAUCAACAAGUAAAAAUGUCAACCUACUCUAAAAAGUUUGGACAAUUUUUAAAGAUAACUGAAAUACUAGAGACAUUAGUAAAUAUUGCGUGAAUCACUUAAUAAAUCGAAAAACAUAAUAUUUUGGAGAUAGUUUUACUAAAAUAUUUUUAACAAUAAACUUGAAUGUUGUACAUAUUUAUUGAAUUGUGGGUAUAGAGACAAUUUUUAGCUUUUUUUCUGAUUUAACAAUAUAUUAAUCGCGAAAGAAGUCAUGUGUUCUUAAUAAAUAAUCGCUAAUGGCAAUUAUUUGCUGCUAAAAAUUCUUCCUCUAAUAAACUUAUUUACACUUUUAGCGUUUAAGACGCAAUGUCCAUCUUAAACUAAUAAUAUUUGGGAAAAAAAAAGGAGGAAAUAAAUUAAACUCAAUUGGGGGAUAACAAUUUUCUUUUAAUUAGUAUGUUAUAUAUACAUUAUUUCAAUUAUACUUUCGAGUUUUUGAUAUACGAAAAUAUAAUGUCAAACUUUAAGAGCAAGAAUUUACAAAAUGAGAACGACUUUUUUUUAAAAUAUAAUGUCCAAACUUUAAAUGACAAGAUUUACAAACCAUGAGACCGACCUUUUUUUUUAUUAUAACGUUUUUUUAUAUAUUAUAUAUAUACAUACACACACACAUCUAUAUCCAUAAUAUCAUUGACUCUUAUUAUAGAUAGGAAAGAGGUUUAAAAUAUAUCAUUGAAACUUUCGAAAAAAACUCAUGUUAUUCAUCAGUUUAAAAGUUUGGUCUCAUUUAUGCCAUUAACCUGUUUAAAAAGAUUCAUUUCUUGCCAUUAUUUUUUAUAAUGGUUUUCGCAAAACCAUUUUUAAUACGUGACCAAUUUAACUCGGCUACGUCCUCCCAUUUAUUUAAUUAAAAAUCAUCAUUCUAAAAAAAAUUGCAUUCAUUUUUUUUUUGAUUUUUUUAUUAAUAUUUGAUGAAUGGCAAUUGAAUUCAGUGGAUUUUCUUAAUUUGGGCGGGUCUUUUAUUUGAGUGGGGUUUUAUUUAUGUUUUUCUUCAGAAUUGAUAUCAAAAAAAAAUAAAAAAUGAUGUGGCCGAAUCAUAACUUUGUCACGUGGUGAAAAGGGUUGGGCCAAAUCGCGCCGUUAAAAACUAAUGGCAGAAAUGAGUCUUUUUCCUAAAUGGUAAUAACAUGAACGAGUUCAAACUUUUAACGGAUCACAUAAUGAAGAUCUUUUCUAAAAGUUCAACCGGCAUAUUUGAGCUUUUUCCCUUAUUUAAAAAAAGUGCUUACAUAACACUCAUUUAUUACAUAAAUAUUUCUAAAAUAUACCAUUUUUUCUAACGGGAGUGAAAAAAAUAUUUUUUUAAACAUAAUUUUUUCAUUUUUUUAAGAAAGUAAAAUCUUGAAUAUAUUAUCUUCCACUUUCUAGAAAUAUUUAUGCCUACAAGAUUUUUUUUUAUUUUUAAAAUUAAAAUUAAUAUUUUCACUUCCAUUAGAUUGAUGAAGAUAUAUCUGAAUCACUUUUUAUAAAAUGGUAAGGAUAUGUAUGAACUCUUAUUUAAUCAAAAUGUGAAUUAUUUUUAUAAUGAGCGAUAUAAAAAUUUUAAUUGCAAAGUUAUGAAGACUUUUUAUUUAGGGAAAAGGGUCUGAUAUACCCCUCAACUUUCAUUUAGAGCUGAUAUGGCCCUUGUGUGAAAGUGGCAUCAUAUAUACAUUAGCUUGUAAAACAAAUGGCUCACAUAUACCCUUUCCUCUAACGGAAAUGGAAAAAAUAAUCUUUACUAAUUUUUUAAUAAUUUUUUUGUCUAAAAAUUAUAUCCCAUAUGAGUAAAUUUAAUCCGUCGUAAAACAUAUUUUUUUUAAACCUUUUUUUAGUUUCAAAUGACUAUUUAUAAUUAUUAUUUUGGAUAAUCAAAUUUAUUUAUGUUUCACUAAUAUUCUUGUAAAGACUUAUUGUUAGAUGAACCAAUUUUUUCUUCGAUACCGAAUUAAAAUUACAAUACAGCACAAAAAAUAGUUUAAAUUUUUUCUCUUUAAACUAAGGAAUUGGAACAGAAAACAUAAGAAUAGAAAACUCAAAUAAUUAUAAUAAAAAAGUCAAAAAAUAAUUUAUAUAAUGAACAAAUAAAUAUCGCUGAACUUUUGAUAGAAGAAUCAUAUAUAUCCCUAAAUAAUUUUUUUAAAAAAUUAAGUAAUAAAUAUGCCAAUUUAAACUAAUUUUUUUAACUUCCGUUAAAUGAAGUGGUAUAUAUGAAGCCAUUUUGUAACGUGGAGGGGUAUAUGUGAGCGCAGCCGUUUGUAUACACGGUAAGGGCAAUAUAUGAAGCACUUUUAUAACGGGGGCGUAUUAUUAGCUCAAUAAACAAAGUUGAGGAGUAAUAUCAGACCUUUUUCUUUUAUUUAUUGUAUAAAAGCUUUCAUAUACUAGUUACAUAUUUAAAUAUUGAAAAUGUUGAUAAGAGAUACCCAUUAAAUGCUAAAGUAAUUGGUAUUGUUAAAAAAUUUCCUUUUAUUUUAUUGUAAUAUAUCUAACAUCCUCGUACUUCACUAACUAAGAAUAAAACUAAGAAUCAAGAAUAAUCAUUUUUUUUGGAAAUAAAUAGGAAAUUCCUGAAAAAUUUACCAGUUGUAAAAAGUGAGUUUUUGGUCAAUCUUCAAACGACCAUAACUCCCAGCUUAGGAGGACGUUUAGGUGUGAGUUCCUUAUUGGUUGGAAAUCCCUUGGAAAGAAAUUUCCAAACGCCAAGUUUGUACAUUUUAAGAUGUGCGUAUGAAGGAGAUAUGAUUUCGAAAGUUUUGGUUUGUUGGAGUGAGGAAAAUUCAAUCCGGAUUUAGUAGGAUAAAGUAGUCUUUUCACUCUAUAUUUCUAAUUCGUUUUUAAAGGGUUUUAUUAGGGGUAAAUCAAGUCCAUAUUCAGUUUUGAAACAGUUGAGAACGCUCAUGGCUUGGGAGAAAAGAGAGAGACCAAAUUUCUUCAAAGAAGCUCAGGUUUCGCUAGAGGAAUUCAUCGGGGGUGAUCUCUAUUCGAGGUAUAAUGAGUAUCUUUCUUAUGUUGGUCGUUCACCCCACACACCACUGUUUUAUUUAGACAAUUUUUGUAUUGAUUGAAUAAUGAAUCUUGAAGUUCUUGAUGAGCCAAUUGUUGAUCCUUAUUGGUAGAGUUGUAAGUGUCUUUAGUUGGUGUUGUUCGUAUUUUCAGGCUGUUUUACGAGUCUAACUAUUGGGUAAUGAGUUAGUAUUAGUGAUUGAUACGCUCAAACUUACUUUUUAAAUAAGAAGUAAGCAGUAAAUGGGGUUUCUAUCUCCUAAAUAAAUGAAAAUACUAAAGCGAAAUUAAGGGGACAACUAACCUUCGAUGUUGGAGUUUAAUCACUUAAUCAAAGUAACUAGGGUUUACGUGUUUCCCCCCACAGGUUUCAUAACUUGAUAAUUCUAAAUAUAACAUUCUUUUCUUUUCUUGUAUCUUGCAUUUGCAAGUGAUAAGUUAUGUAUUUCUAAAUCCUUGGUCGCGGCAUCUAGAAAAUUUUCACUCGGCAACCGGUUGGUCCGACUACGUGUGGUUUUCGCUAUAAUAACCCUUAUUAUUUACCUCAUAUUAAGCAUCCGUAUUCGUAUUUGACUAAGUUAUUACCCCGUACCAAUAAUAUCAGCCCUAUUACGAUAGUAUACACUAAAUUUAUUAUUGGAUAAUUUUUCUAUUUCUUCUCUCUUGGUCCGACAAGUAGCAUUAAAGCGCGAGUUCCUAACGUUGGCCAUCCGUUAAAGACUUCCAAGCGAAAGAAUUAUCAAUACAUGCAAGACACUAUUCUAGAAUUGUUAUUUUUACGUUGAUUUUACUCAUUAUUCGCCUAUGGUUCCCAACUACCCUAAUUAUGGAGUUUAGUUACCAUAAUCAUAAUCAAAUAAUUCCAAAUAUAUGAUAUAAGAAUUCAUGCACUUACUUCAAUGAGAAAGAGUUAAAGAUCAAAAGUUACGCUUGUUAUCACAAUCAAUUACAAGAAUAUAAAUAUCAGAAUCUCACAAAAAGUCCUAAAAAAUAAUCAAAGAGUCUAACAAUAAUCAAGGGCUAUACCAAUAAUCCAGAGUCUACCUCAAAAACGAGGUUUUUUCAAACUAUUUAUAAAUAAAACUAAUUACAUAAGGACUCUAUUUUGCUGGAAAUCUGUCAAACGCGGCUGGGUUCAACGGACCUCGGCGACGGAGCGUCGUGGUCACGACGGCUCCGUCAUGGAACGACGGACCGUCAGUGGAUCCGUCGUCCGCAUACCUUGAUGCAAUUUCUUAUGCUGCUCUCGCUCUUCAUUACCCUCGACGCAAGGUUGAUGGAUCGUUACAGGCACAACGAUCCGUCGAGGGUCUCCGUUCAAAACACUUGAACUCUUGGACAUAUGGGUACUGGGACUACUUCUCUGAACUUAUGCGAUGACUGCAGGACGGACCGUCAUGGAUACGACGGUGUCACGCAUUUUGUUAAACCCCACCCUUGGUCAGACUUCCCAUUUUUCGCUUCAGGCAGUGCUACGUUGGCCACCUACGGACCGUCACGAGCAUGACGGACCCGUCACAUAGGCAUGACGGAACGUCACAAGCAUGACUGGACCGUCACAGCAUGAGGACGGUCACAAGCUCCGUAGGUGGUCUCUUCUGCUAUUCUUUGCUCAAAACCUCCGCAUUCAAUUUUUGGCUAGAUUUCCUGAAAUAAGGAGAAACUUAUAUAAACAUUAGCAGCAAAAAGAAUUUUUUGGACAGCACUAACUUAAGGAAAAAAUAUUAAAUAAUACGUGAACCAUAGUAUAUCAGUGAUGCCUAAAGUUGUUUGGGAUAAAUCAUGAAUGUUUUGCAGGUUUAGGUUGAAAAUGCGGAGAAGAAAAGUCAGAAAACUCGUUGACAGGUCUUGUGGCAAUUCCGUGCUACAAGAGCCCUCAGGACAGACUCUUUCUGUCAGGCUCUGGCGCGCCGCCGUGCAGCUAGAGCGGCCUGAAGACAGUGUCUGUCGUCAGGCUCUGGUGCCCCGCGCCUCUCAGAGCGCAAGGGUCAGCCUGGUGAUUCCUUAUUCUCUCUCACCAUCUUUUCGUACGAGUUCCUAAGUGACGGUUCUAUUAUUUCUAGUUCGUUCCAAUAACUCUAAGUAAAUAUAAAACAUUAUGAAAUCAAUCCUAUAAUGAAUCAGGAUCGUGAAUUUUUGCAUAAUCCAAUCAAGGGAAGUUAAGAUCAAGUCAAAAAAGUUUAAGAGUCAAGUUAAAAGUUAUAAAAAACAGUUCAAAGUAGUUCCUAAAGCAUUCAAGAGUUUUAACAAACAUUUUACUUUGUUUUAAGGAUUCAAGCAUGAGUUGAGCAAAAGAGUAAAAGAGUUGAGUUAAAUUUUCAAAAGCUAUAAGGGAACUAGUAUUCCCUAAGAGUUAGUUUUCAAGUUAAAGCAAAUAGUAACAAGUUCGAGGUUCAGCUUCUCAAGAGUAGAAGGGAACUAAGUAGUCUCUUAACAGUUUAACAAGAAUGUUUUUCAACUUUUGAGAAGAAAGGAAGCUAAGACUUCCACAGAGCCUAUGAAUGUUUUAGUUAAAAGAAAAAGGAAACUAUGAUUUCUAAGAAAGUUUUUGAAGCAAAGUUUGAGAAAUUCAUCUCAAACUAGCAGAAGCAAGUUGUUUUAAAAAAACAUAUGAGCUAAGUAUUUUGGGAGUAGUAUUGAGCACGAUAUGGUGAGCGCGAGUUCAUAUUAACGUCAAGUCUCCAUAAACCAUUGAGCAACAUGGGAUAUAAAAGAUAUACUUUUAGAUGAUUCGCUUAGUAUUUUAGCAUAGAUAGUGUGAUCCUCUUAGUAGUUUCAAGGUUCUAUACGACGACAAGGUAUAGAGUGGUCCUCUUGCAACAUGAGGUAAUACGUUUGUAACCAUCACUUAGCUCAUACGAUGGUUGUCCGUUAGAUAAAUCUCUCAAAGAAAUUAUAAUACUUUCAAAUUAUAUGAGUAAAGUUGAGUUUUUUAUUGAUUUAUCUUUAAUGACUAAGUGUUUACCUGUUUUUUCAAGCUUUUCUUUUAAUAUCGCCAUGUGAUCCUAUACUGGCUUUAUAUUGAGUCGUUAUUAAUUGAAGUUGAGCAGGAACCAGGUAAGUUGCUUCCUUACUCCUUUCAAGCCUUAUAGUAGUGUUUAGGUAUUGCCAUUACGCAUACAUCGUUUGGCUGCAUGCAUAGUCUUUAAUGCCAGAAGCAGGGUAAUUAGGAUCAACAUGCAGCACUCUUGUUGAACCAGUUUGAGGCUCUAGAGUCAAGUGGUCGAGCCUCAUGCAUUCGGAGGAUCCUUUUUAUUGCUAUCUAGUUAGUUCAAUAGAUGUUGUGGGGUUUGUCCCAACAUUCAUCUCAGUCAGUUAGAGGGUUUCAUAUGACGGAUAGUAGUAGUUAGUUGUUCUCUUUUAUUUCAGAUUCUAUUAUUUGAGACUUAGUGCAAAUUUUGGCCAAGGACAGUAUUUAAAGUCAUUUUUAUGAGAGUUCUUGCAUUCUAUAGACUGAAUUAAGUUGAGUCUUCUGUGAGUUAAGUAGUCAGACCACGAGUUCCCUUGAGGGCGCAGCAUGGUCACCAGUGCUAGUCCAACCCAGGGUAUAAAUGCUCGGAGCAUGCUAAUAUAUGCAUUUUUCAUAUACGACUUACGUAUUCAGAUACUUUUAACAUUUUGUUUAGAGCAGAAGAGUCUUAACUUAUUAUGCUAGGUGAAGUAUUGAUAUAUUGGGAUAUUGGUACUUAUUAUUAUGUUUACUUUAAUCUUAUUUAUAAGUUACAACACACGUAAGCACACACAAGGUGCUCAACAUGUGUGCUUGAAGUAAAAUUAAUUUUGAAUGAGGUUUAAUUUGGUCUUUUAUAUAAUACUCAAUGAUUUUCGCUUUUUUACCAACUUUUAAAACACACUUGUAAAAAUGCAAAAUUGCUUUUAUGGACAUCAAAUGACCAAAAACCGCGCGAGUAUCCUUUAACCUCAUUGUAUAUGUUAUAGAACAUUGCAAUUGGUUGAAACUGAACUUUAAAUGUAAGUUGCAAUUUAUUAUUUUUCUUCUUGUCUAAAACUGCCCUAUGCGGCUUAAGCUUUAUUUUUAUCAACUAUUUGUUUAUUAGUGGAGAAAUAGCUCUUUAGAUGAGUCCUUUUAAGCGGUACCGCGAGCUAGGAUAUUAAUAUAUGUCUUUUCGUUUUAUUUUAUGUCAUUUGUUACUAAAAAUAGGUAAUAUUAAUAUUUAUCAUUUCACAAGUAAUGGUAAUCAUUAUAUAGUAAUGAAAUCGACGUCUCUGAACUCUGUGACGGACGUCAGGUACGACGAACGUCGUGAGCCCGUUUCAAAACACUUCAACUCUUGAGAAUUUUGGUACAGGGAACGAUUCUCCUGAAACGUCAUGACGGAGGUGCAGGACGGACCGUCGAGGUCGAUGGCCGUCACAGAUCCUUAAGUGAAUCGAAGUCCUUUGACGAACCUGCAUGACGGCCGUCGCAGGCACGACGGGCCCGUGCGCAGGUUGGCAUCAGUCUAAGGUCAGAUUUCUUUACACAUUUUAAGGGACGUUUUUGACUAUUCCUUCUUUAAUUUAAAGUUAGUGGUUAAUGUUAAUUAAGUUAAUUACUUGGGUUGGUUAAAGGGUUAAACCUCAAGUUUAAAUUAGUGGGUUAUUAUUGCAUCUUUCAUUCUUAAUUAUAUACUAAUUGGUAAAAGAAAGGGGUUUUGAAUAAAGAAAAUAGAAGAACACAUAAGAGGAGGGGAGAUAUCGAACGAGAAGGGAUAAAAGAAGAGGAGAACACAAAGCUUGGGAAAUUGGCUUGCUUGGAUUUCUUGUUUCGGUGGAGGUAGGUUUUGGUUUUCAUGGCCUAUUCGUAGUAAACUUUAAUAGCGAAUGAUUGUGUUAGUAGUAUUGUAAACCCUUCUAAUUGCUUAAUUGUAAUGCUUGCCAUGAAUGAUGUGAUUAUCGGAAUUAUUGAAUAAAUAAGCAUGAUGAAGUUAUGGAAUCCGCAAUCUUGAAAAGAACCCUAAUUACUUUGUUAUGAUGAUGCCUGGUAAUAAAAGAAGGCUUGAUGAAGCGAAAGGGGUGAGAACAUAAAUCAAAUGGAGUGAGCUCAAAUUUAGUGAAUUUUUUUUUAAAAAAUAUUUUGUUGUUUAACAAUUUUUAAAAUGAAAAUGCUAAACCUUUUUCACAAUUAUGUUUUAUAGUUUUUUUAUCAAUAUCUAGUCGAUGAUAACCAUAAUUUUAAUAUAAAUAAUAUAAUAAGGUAACUUAAUUCUGAAAUUCAAGUAUUGAUAUUUUUGAGAAAAUAUUUAUUUAUAAAUUGUAAAACAUUCAUAAUCUAAUAUUUAAUAUGUUUCUUACUCUCAACGAAUGACACUAAUUCAUCAUGAUUCAAAAUUGUAAGAAGUAAAAAUCAAUACUAAAAAGUGCAACUCAUUAUUAUAUGAAGUUUAAUAUGUAGUUUAUCUAUUGUCGAAAGUUUUCCAAGUAUAUGAUAUAUAAUUCUAUGAUAAAUUAAUUUUUGAUCCCAUAUAUUUAUACUAUUUUCAAAUUUAUCCCGUUAAUUGAUUAUAUAUUUUCUUAAACUACAAUUACGCGAUCAUUAUUUAUCAAUUCUACUUUAUCAACUUUAUAUUCUUCUUUUUAUAUCUUUAGAAUUGUGCUAUUUUUGUUUUCUUAUUUAAGUUACAAUUUUAAAGAUAAAAUAAAUAUUUUUGGAGAUAAAAUAAGUUAAAUAAAAAACUAUAUGAAUACUUAUGUUGAAAAAAAAUAUAUAUAAUUAAAAAAUUGUCCUAUUUUUAUUUUCUUAUUUAAGUCACAAUUUUUAAAGAUAAGAUAAAUAUUAUUUUGAGAUAAAAUAAGUUAAAUAAAACUAUAUGAAUACUUUUGUUUAGAAACAUUAUAUAUAAUUAAAAAAAUUACAUAUAUGAAAGAUUUUAUAAAUUAUACUGGUUAUGUUGUAGUAGUAAUAAACAUAGAUGAACAAUUUGUAUUGUCAAGAGUAUAAAAAUAAAAAUAUUUUUCACAUUAUUAUUAUAUCAAACAAAUACAAAUUGAUUUUCAAAAAGAAUAAUAAAAUGUAUUUGUGGGUCACACAUGAAACAAAAAUAUGUGAUUCUUGAAAAAAAAAUAAUAGAUUCUUCUAGAAAACUAUUUUGACAAUUAAUUAUACAAUUAUAAAUUUAAAACUUAACCCAUAAAAAUAAUUAAAAUUACAAAAUUGUCAUUGAUUGGCCUCAUCAUGACUCUUAUGUAUAAUAGAAACUAGAUAAUUGAAGGCCCGUUCAUGGGCUCAAUAUAAUUAAUUAUUUUUUUCAAUUUUAAGUUAAAAAAAUUAUCCAAAUUAAUAUCUUAUUUUAUCAUAGUUUCUAAAAUUUUCUACUAUUUAAACAAUUACAAAAAUGUCCUCUAAGAUACAUUCUUAUCCUCUGUCGGACACAUCAGUAUCUCCUCUCGAAUACAUUCCUAUCAUUUCUUGAAUACAUCUUUAUCUCAUCCUGAAACAUCCAUAUCCUCUCUGGGAUACAUCUCUCCCCUUUCGGAUACAUUCAUUCUCUCUCGAAUACAUCCCUACCUUCUCGAAAUCAUCGUGAGCUCUAUGUCUGCAAGUUUCCUCAAUAGCAAUGUAUCACGAUCGAUGUAUCCGCAUGUGUUGAUUUAUCUGAAAUUAUUUAAUUUUAAAAAGAUUUCGUAAUUUGAAAAAAGUAGGAAUAUAAUGUAAUUAACUCUUUACUCUAUGACAUAUUUUUCUUUGUAGUCAGUUUCAAAAGAAUGAUGUAUAACAUAUUUAAAUAACAUUUUGACUUUAAAAUAUUCAUUCUAUUCUUAGUAAUAUUAUUUAUAGUCAUAUGAACAUCUAUGGUUUGUUUUAGACCAUGAGUUUUAGAAGUGUUUUUUCUUUUAAAAAUUUUCGUGUUAAGUUAAAUUAAAAUUCCAUAAACCGAAAGGGAGUGAGUACAAACUUUAGAUCAAUUUUAUAUUUAUAAAAUUAAAGUUUUUGUAACUAUUUUGUCUUUUAACAAAAUUUAAAAUGAAAUAAUUCACAAUUAUUUUUAUAGUAUUUUUUUAAAAUCAAUAUUCUAUCAAUAAUAAUAAAUUUUUUUUAAUUUAAAUAAGAUAAUAAAGUAUUUUAAUUUUGAAAUUCAUGUAUUGAUAUCAAUUGAGAAAAUAUUUAAUUUUAAGUUGUAAAACAUUCAUAAUCUAAUAUUUAAUGUGCUCCUUACUCUCGAUGAAUGACACUAAUUUAUAAUAAUUCAAGAUUGCAAGAAGUAGAAAUCGAGACUAAAACGUGCAACUCACUAUUAUAUGAAGGUCACUAUGUAAUUUAUCUAUUGUGGAAGUCUCAUUAGUAUAUGAUAGAUAAUUCUAUGCCAAAUUAAUUUUUGUUUUCAUAUAUUUAUACAAUUUCAAAAUUUAUCCCGUUAAUUGGUUAUGUAUUUUAUUAAACUACAACUGCACUCAUUAUUUCAUCUUUUUUUUUUAUUCUUACAUUAUCAACUCUAUUUUUUUAUCUCUUUAGAAUUGUGAUACUUUUGUUUUCUUAUUUAAAUCACAAUGUUUUAAAGAUAAAACAAAUUUUAUUUUGGAGAUUAAAUAAAUAUUAUUUUGAAGAUAAAAUAAAAAAAAGAUUUACUAACCUACAACCAGGAAGAUCCACUUUGAAACCCAGCGACGAAGAAAACUUUGAAACUCUUAGCCGCGAAAUGAGGGUGAAAGAGUAAAAUCAUUUCUGGAAAAUAAUGAAACGAGGGGGAAAAAAGCGUAAUAAAGAUUUAAGGAAUUAGUCUAUGUGGUAGUGGACCCUAUUGACAUGCAAUAUGGAAUUCACAUAGCAUUUAACAACUUCUCUUAAUUAGAAGGGCAAUUUUGACCCAAUAGUUUCACGGAAAGGGUACUUUUGAGCCGAAAUAUACUUUAAGGGUAAAUAUGAGUUAUUUCAGAUAGUUUAAAAGUAUUUUUUACCCUUUUACUUUUAGUCUACGUGGUAGUGGAACCCUAUUGACGUGCAAUGUGAUGGCAUUUAACAACUUCCAUUAAUAAGAAUUGCACUUUUGACACAAUAGUUUGACGGGGAGGAGAGUUUUGAGCGGAAAUAUAAUUUAAGGUAAAUAUGAAAUAUUUCAGAUAGUUUAAGGAUAUCUUUGACCCUUUUAUGUUAAAACUAUAUGAAUACUUAUGUCUAAAAAACAUUGUAUAAAAUUAAAAGGAAAUUAAAUCAUGGAAGAUGGUAGGUUAUACUGAAUAUGUUGUAGUAACAACAAACAUAUAUAAACUAUUAAGUUGUAUAAAUAUUUUUUAUUUAUUAUAAUCAAACAAAUAAAAGUUAAUUUUUAAAAAUUAAAUAAAAUGAUUACAUGGAGUCACCAUGAAACAAAACUUUUUGUGACUCUUGAAAAAGAUUAUUGGAUACUUCUAGAAAAUUAUUUUGACCACUGAUUAUGCAAUUAUAAAGUUGUAAUUUUGCCCAUAAAUAAUGUUUAAAAUUACAAUAUUGUCAUUGGUCAUCCUAAUCAUGACUCUUCUAUAUAAUAGAAAUAAUAAUAACUAGAUAUCAGGUGCCCGUGCUAACGCAAACGCAACGUAUGUUAGAUUUUUCUUCUUCCAAUUUAUGUGACAAAAAUGAAAUUUGAAAAAAAUGAACUAAAUUUUUUAUAUGUGUUUUUUUUAAAAAUAUUUUAAAUUAUUAAUUUAUGUAUCUUUUUUGUCAUUUUCGAAUAAUAUAUGUUACUUUAUCUAUUUUAUUUUAUAUGAUACAAGUGAUUUUAGGAAAGUAAACGAAAUUUCUUAUAUGAUUUUCAUAUAUUUUUAGUUGUCAUUUUACUGCGAUUCAUAGUACUUUUUAGUUAUUACGUUAUUUUCAAACAAUAUAUGCAACUUUUUUUUUGUUUCAAUAAAAAUAAGGGAGUCAACAAAAUUUCAUUAUGUUUUUUCAACUACAUUUUUCUAAAAAUAUUUUAAAUUGUUACAUUGCUUUUUAAAGUUUUUUUAAAUGUAACUUUCAAAUAUGUAACAAAUUAGAAAUUAAAACGAAGAAUUAAAGUUUUCAAAUCAUUAUAUUUCUAUAUUAGAAUAUUAAAACCUUUAAAACUACAUAUAUAUGCAUAAAUUAGUAGAAGGAAGCCUAACAACUUAUUUUUAAAAAAAUAUAUGAGAGCUCAUUUUAAUAGUAAUACAUACAUAUUUCAUUUUUCAAUAUCCGAAUCCCUCCUUUUCGAUUUAUAUAAAUUUAAUUUAAUUUAAUUUUUAUUUUGUUUCAAAAAGAAAAUAACUUCUGAAUUUUAUUUGUUUAUAAAGCAUAUUUAAGAUCACAAAAUCAAAAAAAAAUUUCAAUUCACAAAAUUUAAAUAUACAUAUAAAUUUUAAUUUUAAUUUUGAUUGGUUCCACCUAAUAUUAUACUUGAUAUAUAAUUAUUAAGAGCUAAGCGUAAUCAUUAUCUAUUUACUUUCGUAUAAUAAAUAGAUAUCACAAUAACUCUUAAAAAAUGAAGAAAUAACGAAAAUGAGGUAAUACUAAUAAUAAUCACUAAAGAUUUUCUAGAACUAGUUAAAUUUCUUGUUAUCAAUCGUGUUAGUUUUUUGCUUGCAUAAAUUACAUUUUUACCUUCGAUCAUCAUUCACUUCAUAUAUAGAAAGAUGUUUCUAGAAUUAUUUAUUCUUGAUAAAUUUUUGUUAGAAUGAAAUUACAUUUUAUUCUUAGUCGUCUUUAAUACAAAGUAUCAUCCUAUUCAUUUUUUAUUUGUCAAGUUACUUUUUAAGAUCUUUUUCUUUAAUUUCAGUCUAAUAUAUAUUAUUAAUUUAUCACACUUAUUUAUUUUCAAGUAUAUUAUUAGAGUCAAAAUAAAGAUGAAAAUAAUUAAUUCAUGAUAACUUUUUAUAUAAAAAGUAGGCAUAUAUUAUAAGCAUAAUGAAUAGAAAAAAAUAUUAAGAAUUAAUUUAAAGUAAUAGUAAAGUAGAGUAAUUAUAAAAUAGAUAUCACAAUAACUCACAAAAGAAAAGAAAGUGAAGUGAUAACAAAAUAAGUUAAUGGUAAUAAUAAUAACUUAAAAUAUUUCUAGAACUAUUAUUUUUAUUUUUUUUUGUUAUCAUUCUUCAUAGAUUUUUGUUAGCAUGAAAUUAUAUUUUUGCUGUAACGACCUAUUUAGUCGUUUGGAGCAGCAGAGUUAAUUUCUGAAAAUCACUGUCUGGGUCGACGGAUCCCACGACAGACCGUCAUGGGCACGACGGACCGUCGAGGGUGUCUCGUGCCAAAACACUUAGAAUUUAGAAAUUUGGGUACUGAGAUCGACUCUCUGAACUUCACGACGAAAUGGCAGGACGGACCGUUGAGGGCUCGACGGACCGUCACAAAUCCUUCCGCAGAAUUAACUCUCUGAACCUUGUGACGGACGUGCAGGACGGACCGUCACAGGCUGCGUGACCCUGACUGGGUCGGAUUUCUGUUAAAUAUUUUAAGGGGCGUUUUGGACUAUUCCUACUUAUAAUUAUAAAGUUAGUGGUUUAAUGUUAAUAAUUUAAUUACUUGGGGGUUAAAAGAGAGAACCUUGAAACAAAUAGUGGGAUAUUUUAUCAUCUUUUAUACUUAAUUAUAUGCUAAUUAGGGUAAAAGAAAGAGGGUUUGAAUAAGAAAAAGAAAAAGAACAGAGAGAGAGGGAGAAACGAUCGAUUGAGAGAGAAGAAGAACGCAGCUUUGGGAAAGUAGAUUGCUUGAUCACAAUCCUUCGGUGGAGGUAGGUUAUGGUUUAUGCUAUUCGUAGUAAACUCUUAAUAGCGAAUGAUAUGUAUUGGGUAGUGUUGUAAACCCUUCUAUAUGCUUAAUUGUAUGCUUGCAUGAAUGUGAUUAUAUAAUUGUGAUAAAAUAAGCAUGAUGAAGCUAUUGAAUCCUAAAUCUUGAAAAUCCUAAUCUACUUUGUUAAUGAUGAUGCCUUGGUAUAAAAGAAGGCUUGAUGAACGAAAGUAGUAAGAUUAGGGGAUCGGAGUGUCACGUUCCGACACCAGGAUAGUAUAUGGAUCGGGUGCCACGUUCCGGUACCAGGAUAGUAUAUGAGGAUCGGAGUGUCACGUUCCGACACCAGGAUAGUAUAUGGAUCGGGUGCCACGUUCCGGUACCAGGAUAGUAUAUGAGGAUCGGAGUGCCACGUUCCGGUACAAGGAUAGUAUAUGAGGAUCGGAGUGUCACGUUCCGACACCAGGAUAGUAUAUGGAUCGGGUGCCACGUUCCGGUACCAGGAUAGUAUGAUGAGGAUCGGAGUGUCACGUUCGGACACCAGGAUAGUAUAUGGAUCGGGGUGUCACGUACCGACACGAGAGAAAUAAAGAUAAUGAAUCUUGAAAGAUGUUAAUAUACUCAAUUUAAUGAACCUAAUUCCCAAAUGAGUAUGAUGGGGAGGCGUGAGUCCUCAUUGAUGUGCUUGGUGUUGUGACCAAGAGUUAUGAUAAUUAUAAAUGCCGCAUGUUGAGUAUUGUAGUUGAUUUUAUGAUAUAUAUCAUAUUAUCUGAUAUAUACUAUUUUCUAUUUUGAGUUGGCCGAUGAUAUCUACUCAGUACUCGUGUUUUGUACUGACCCCUACUUGUAAUUGUUUUUCUUUGUUAUUUGUGGAGUGCAGCAAACGUACCGUCGUCUUCAACUCAACCGCAACUCUAGCCAGUCUUCAUUACACCGGAUUUCAGGGUGAGCUAACGCUUCUAGCUUGGACUGGAUCUUCUUCUUCAUGUCUUGAUGCCUUGAAGUUCCGGCAUGGACUAGCUUUUUAUUUAUUCUAGCUUUCUAGAUACUCUUAGAAUUAGUAAUUUAAGGAUAGAUGUUCUUGUGAUGAUGACUUCCAGAUUUUGGGAAUAAUAAGUAUUGAGUUUUUAGAAGUUAUUUAACCGAUUUUCAUUAAUGAGUUUAAGUCUUCCGCAUUAUAUUCUGUUUAUUAUGGUUCAAAUGUUGGGGUUUAGAUUGGUUGGUUCGCUCACAUAGGAGGGUAAGUGUGGGUGCCACUCGCGGCCCGCUUUGGGUCGUGACAUUUGCCCUUGAUUAUUAUUUACUUCAUAUAUAGAAAGAUGUUUCUAGUAUUAUCAAUUAUCUUGCUUAAUAGAUUUUUGUUAGCGUGAAAUUACAUUUUUGCCCUUAAUCGUCCUCCCACUUCACUCUUCUAUAUAAUUGAAUAGAAAUACAUUAUAUAAAAUAAAUAUUUAUAAAUGAUUAUAAGUUUUCUAUAUCCUUUUUAUAGUGAUUAAUUUACAAUAGGUAAAUGGAUAUGUAUGGGUAAUAAAAUAUAUAUGAGAAUAGUAAUUUAAUUGUGAUAUAUGGCAAAUUCAUCAAAUAGUCAGUCUCUAAUAAUUUAUAUAUUAGUAGUGAAGUAUAAUGUUAAAUUUUAAACGAGGAUUUACAUAACGUGAGAAAGACUUCUUUUCUUUUUUAUUUUCUCAAGAGAUUUUUACAUUUUAAAAUUAGUUUAUAACUUAACAUUAAAUUACUUUAUAUGUAUUUUACUUAUUCAAACUCUCACAUAAUUACUUGUACAUUUGUUUAUUUAUGGUCUUCAUAUAUAACCCCUAGUAUAGCCUUGCUAAACUAAAUUUUGAAAAUUAUUACUAGUAAGGUGUUUGUUUCCUCACCUCAUAUAUUUACAUCAUAUGCAUAAAAAUUAUGUAAAAUGAAUAACAUAUUUUUUUAUUUAUUUUUAAAGAGACUAGUUAUUUGGGGCCGCUAAAGCCUACUUCAAAAUUAGCAAAUCAAAAGAAAGGAAGUGUACCUAUCAACCAAGUAAAAAUGUCAACUACUUCUAAAAAGUUUGGACAAUUUUUAAGACUAUGAAAAUAUAGAGACAUAGUAAAAUAUUGCGUGAAUCACUUAAUAAAAUCGAAAACAUAAUAUAUUGGAGAUAGUUUUACUAAAAAUAAUUUUACAAUAAAAUUGAAAUGUGUACAUAUUUAUUGAAUUGUGGGUAUAGAGACAAUUUUUAAGCUUUUUUCUGAUUUACAUAUAUUAAAUCGCGAAAGAAGUCAUGUGUUCUUAAUAAAAUAAUCGCUAAUGGCAAUUAUAUUUGCUGCUAAAAUUCUUCCUCUAAAUAACUUAAUUUACACUUUUAGCGUUUAAGACGCAAUGUCCAUCUUAAACUAAUAAAUAUGAGAAAUAAAUAAACUCAAUUGGGGGAUAACAAUUUCUUAAUUAGUAUGUUAUAUAUACAUUAUUUCAAUUAUACUUUCGAGUUUUGAUAUUACGAAAAUAUAAUGUCAAACUUUAAAGACAAGAAUUUACAAAUGAGAACGACUUUUUUUUAAAAAUAUAAUGUCAAACUUUAAAGACAAGAAUUUACAAACCAUGAGAACGACUUUUUUUUAAUUAUACGUUUUAUUAUAUAUAUAUAUAUAUAUAUACAUACACACACACAUAUAUAUACAUAUAUCAUUGACUCUAUAUAUAUAAGAUAGGAAAGAGGUUAAAAUAUAUCAUUGAACUUUCAGAAAAAAACUCAUUUAUUCAUCAGUUAAAAGUUUGGCUCAUUUAUGCCAUUACCGUUUAAAAAAGAUUCAUUCUUGCCAUUAUUUUUUAAUAAUGGUUUCGCAAAACCAUUUUUAAUACGUGACCAAUUAUAAUUCGGCUACGUCCUCAAUUUAUUUAAUUAAAAAAUCAUCAUUCUAAAAAAAAUUGAAUUCAUUUUUUUUGAUUUUUUUAUUAAAUAAAUUGAUGACAUGGCUAAUUAGAAUUCAGUGGGAUUUCUUAAAUUUGGGCGGGUCUUUAUUUGAGUGGGGUUUUUAUUUAAUGUUUUCUCAGAAUUGAUUUUUUAUCAAAAAAAAAUAAAAAUGAUGUGGCCGAAUCAUAACUUGUCACGUGUGAAAAGUGGUUGGGCAAAAUCGCCGUUAAAAACUAAUGGCAUGAAUGAGUCUUUUCCUAAAUGGUAAUAACAUGAACGAGUCAAACUUUUAACGGAUGACAUAAAUGAGUCUUUUCUAAAAGUUCAACGGCAUAUUUGAGCUUUUUCACUUAUUAAAAAAGUGGCUUACAUACACUCAUAUUAUUACAUAAAUAUUCUAAAAUAUACCAUUUUGUUCUAACGGGAGUGAAAACAAAUAUUUUUUUAAACAUAAUUUUUUAUUUUUAAGAAGUAAAAUCUGAAUAUAUUAUCUUCCACUUUCCUAGAAAAUAUUAUCCUACAAGAUUUUUUAUUUUUAAAAAUUAAAAUUAAUAUUUUCACUUCCAUUAGAUGAUGAAGAUAUACCUGAAUCACUUUUAUAAUGGUAAGGAUAUGUAUGAACUCUUUUAAUUCAAAUGUGAAUUAUUUUAUAAUGAGCGAUAUAACAAUUUUAAAUUGCAAAGUUAUGAAGACCUUUUUAUUUAGGGAAAAGGGUCUGAUAUACCCCUCAACUUUGUCAUUUAGAGCUGAUAUGCCCCUUGUUGUGAAAGUGGCUCAUAUAUACCCUUACUUGUAAACAAAUGGCUCACAUAUACCCUUUUCCUCUAACGGAAAUGGAAAAAAAAAUAAUUUUAAUCUAAUUUUUUAAUAUUUUUUGUCUAAAAAUUAUAAUCCCAUAUGAGUAAAUUUAAUCCUCGUAAAACAUAUUUUUUUAACCUUUUUUAGUUUCAAUGACUAAUUUAUAAUUAUUAUUUUGAUAAUCAAAUUUAUUUAUGUUUCACUAAUAUUCUUGUAAAACUUAUUGUAGAUAACCAAAUUUUUUCUUCGAAUAUGAAAUUAAAUUACAAUACACACAAAAAAUAGUUUAAAUUUUUUCUCUUUAAACUAAGGAUUGAAAGAAAAAACAUAAGAAUAAGAAACUCAAAUAAUUAUAAUAAAAAAAGUCAAAAAAUAAUUUAUAUAUGAAAAAAAUCAAAAUAUACCUUGAACUUUGAUAGAAGAAUCAUAUAUAUCCCUAAAUAAUUUUUUAAAAAAAAUUACAAGUAAUAAAUAUCAAUUUAAAACUAAUUUUUUAACUUCCGUUAAAUGAAGGGUAUAUAUGAGCCAUUUUGUAACGGGAGGGGUAUAUGUGAGCCGUUUGUAUAACGGUAAGGGCAUAUAUGAGCCACUUUUAUAACGGGGGGUAUAUUAGCUCCAAAUAACAAAGUUGAGGGGUAUAUCAGACUCUUUUUCCUUUUAUUUAUUGUAUAAAAGCAUUUCAUAUACUAGUUACAUAUUUAAAUAUUGAAAAUGUUGAUAAGAGAUCCCAUUAAAUGCUAAAGUAUUGGUAUUUUAAAAAAAUUUCCUUUUAUUUAUUGUAUAUAUCUAACAUCUCGUAACUUCAAAUAACUAAGAAUAAACUAAGAAAUCAAGAAUAAUCAUUUUUGGAAAUAAAUAGGAAAUCUGAAAAAUUUCCCAAGUGUAAAAGUGAGUUUUUGGUCAAUUUCAAACGACCAUAACUCCCAGCUUAGGAGGAGUUAGUGUGAGUUCCUUAUAUGGUUGGAAAUCCCUUGGAAAGAAAUUUCCAACAACGCCAAGUUUGUACAUUUUAGAUGUCGUAUGAAGGAGAUAUGACUUUCGAAAGUUUGGUUGUUGGAGUGAGGAAAAUUCAAUCCGGAUUUAGUAAGGAUAAAGUAGUCUUUUCACCCUAGUAUUUUCUAAUUCGUUUUAAGGGUUUAUUAGGGGUAAAAUCAAGUCCAUAUUCAGUUUUGAAAAAGUUGAGAACGCUCAUGGCUUGGGAGAAAAGAGAAGAGAAGAGAAGAGAAAACCAAAAUUUCUUCAAGAACGCUAAGGUUUCGCUAGAGGAAUUCAUCGGGGGUGAUCUCUAUCGAGGUAUAUGAGAUCUUUCUAUGUUGGGUUCGUUCACCCACACACCAACAUGUUUAUUUAGCAAUUUUUGUAUUGAUUGAAUAAUGAAUCUUGAAGUUCUUGAUGAGCAAUUGUUGAAUCCUUAUUGGUAGAGUUGUAGUGUACCUUUAGUUGGUGUUGAUUCGUAUUUUCAGGCUGUUUUACGAGUCUAAACUAUUGGGUAUUGAGUAUAUUAGUGAUUGAUACGCUCAAACUUACUUUUUAAAUAAGAAGUAAAGCAGUAAAUGGGGGUUUCUAUUCCUAAAUAAAUGAAAAUAACUAGCGAAAUUAAAGGAGACAACUAACAACUUCGAAUGUUGGAGUUUAAUCACUUAAUCAAAGUAACUAGGGUUUACGUGUUCCCCACAGGUUCAUAACUUGAUAAUUCUAACUAUAACAAUUCUUUCCUAGUAUCUUGCAUGCAAAGUGAUAAGUUAUGUAUUUCUAAAUCCUUGGUCCGGCAUCUAGAAAAUUUCACUCGGCACCUUGGUCCGACUACGUGUGUUGCUAUACUAACCCUUAUAUUUACCUCAUAUUAAGCAUCGUAUUCGAUAUUUGACUAAGUUAUUACCCCGUACCAAUCAAUACUAGCCUAUUAGAUAGUAUACACUAAAUUUAUAUUGAUAAUUCUUUUCCUAUUAUCUACCUCCUUGGUCCGACAAGUAGCAUUAAGGCGAGUUCUAACGUUGGCCAUCCGUUAAAAAGACUUCCAAGCGAAAGAAUUAUCAAUACAUGCAAGACACUAUUCUAGAAUUGUUAUUUUAGUUAGAUUUUACCUCAUUAUUCGCCUAUGGUUCCCACAACCCUAAUUAUGGAGUUUAGUUACCCAUAAUCAUAAUCACAAUAUUCAAAUAUAUGAUAUAAGAAUUCAUGCACUUACUUCAAUGAGAAAGAGUAAAAUCCAAAAGUUAGCUUGAUUAAUCAACAAUCAAUUACAAGAAUAUCAAAAUAAUCAAGAAUCUCACAAAAAGUCUAAAAAAUAAUCAAGAGUCUAACAAUAAUCAAGGGCCUAACCAAAUAAUCCAGAGUCUAACCUCAAAAACGAGGUUUUUCAAACUAUUUAUAAAAAAUAAAAACCUAAUUACAUAAGGACUCUAUUUGCUGGAAAUCUGUCAAAACGCGGCUGGGUCAACGGACCUCGCGACGCAUCGUCGUGGUCACGACGGACCGUCAUGGACUCCGUCGUCCCAUACUUGAUGCAAUUUCUUAUGCUGCUCUCUUCAUUACUCUCGACAGCAGGUAUGAUGGAUCGUUACAGGCACAACGAUCCGUCGAGGGUCUCCGUUCCAAAACACUUGAACUCUUGGAAUAUGGGUACUGGGACUACUUCUCUGAACUUCAUGACGAACCUGCAGGACGGACCGUCAUGGAUACGACGGUCCGUCACGCAUUUUGUAACCCCACACUUGGUCAGACUUCCCCAUUUUCCUUCAGCAGCUGCACUACGUUGCCACCUACGGACCGUCACGAGCAUGACGGACCGUCACAAGCAUGACGGACCGUCACAAGCAUGACGGACCGUCACAAGCUCCGUAGGUGGUCUCUUCUGCAUUUCUUUGCUCAAAAACCUCCGCAUUCAUCUUUGGAUAGAUUUCCUGCAAAUAAGGAGAAACUUAUAUAAAAAUUAGCACAAAAAGAUUUUGGACACACUAACUUAAGGAAAAAAUAUUAAUAAUACCGUGACACCAUAGUAUAUCAGUGAUCCUAAGUGUUUGGGAAAAAUCCAUGAAUGUUUUGAAGGUUUAGAGUUGAAAAUCGGAGAAGAAAAGUCAGAAAACUCGUCUGACAGGUCUUGUGGCACCGUGCCUACAAGAGCCCCUCAGGACAGACUCUUUCUGUCAGGCUCUGGCGCGCCGCCGUGCCAGCUAGAGCGCCUGAAGACAGUGUCUGUCGGUCAGGCGCUGGUGCCCCGCGCCUCUCAGAGCGCCAGGGUCACCUGGAGAUUCUAUUUCUCUCCCAUCUUUUAGUACGAGUUCCUAAGUGACGUAUCUAUUAUUUCUAGUUAGUUCCAAUACUCUAAAGUAAAUAUAAACAUUAUGAAAUCAUCCAUAAUAAUGAGAUCAGGAUCCGUGAAUGCAUAAUCCAAUUCAAGGGAAGUUAAGAUCAAAGUCAAAAAAAGUUAAGAGUCAAGUCUAAAAGUUAAAAAACAAGUCAAAGUAAGUUCCUAAAGCAUUCAAGAGUCUUAAACAAACAUUUUAACUUUGUUUUAAGGUUCAAGCAAUGAGUUGAGCAAAGAGUAAAAGAGUUGAGUUAAAUUUUCAAAAGCUAUAAGGGAACUAAGUAUUCCCUAAGAGUUAAGUUUCAAGUUAAGCAAAUAGUAACAAGUUGAGUUCACUUCUCAAGAGUUAGAAGGGAACUAAGUAGUCUCUAACAGUUUAAACAAGAUGUUUUUAAACUUUUGAGAAAGAAAGGAAGCUAGACUUCCACAGAGCCUAUGACUAGUUUUAGUAAAAGAAAAAGGAAACUAUGAUUUCUAAGAAAGUUUUUGAAGCAAAGUUUGAGAAAUUAUCUCAAACUAGAGAAGAAGUUGUUUUAAAAAAACAUAUGAGCUAAGUAUUUUGGGAGUAGUAUUGAGCACCGAUAUGGUGACGCGAGUUCAUAUUAACUCAAGUCUCCAUAAACCAUUGAGCCAACAUGGAGAUAUAAAAGAUCAUACUUUUUAGAUGAUUCCUUAGUAAUUUUAGCAUAGACUAGUGAAUCCUCUUAGUAGUUCAGGUUCUAUAUCGACGACAAGGUAUAGAGUGGUCCUCUUGCAACAUGAGGUAAUACGUUGUACCAUCACUUAGGCUCAUAGAUGGUUGUCGGUUAGAUAAUCUCUCAAAGAAAUUAUAAUACUUUCAAAUAUAUGAGUAAAGUUGAGUUUAUUAUUGAUUUAUCUUUAAUGAACUAAGUGUUUACACUGUUUUACAAGCUUUUCUUAUAUCGCAUGUGUCCUUACUGCUUUAUAUUGAGUCGUUAUUUCAUGAGUUGAGCAGAACCAAGGUAAGUUCUUCCUUACUCCUUUCAAGCCUUAUAGUAGUGUUUAGUAUUCCAAUUCGCAUACUCGUUUGGCCUGCAUGCAUCGCCUUAUAAUGCAGAAGCAGGUAAUUAGGAUCAACAUGCAGCACUUUGUUGAACCAGUUUGAGCUCUAGAGUCAGUGGUGAGCCUCCAUGCAUUUCGGAGGAUCCUUUUAUUGCUAUCUAGUUAGUUCAAUAGAAUGUUGUGGGGUUUGUCCCAACAUUCAUCUCAGUCAGUUUAGAGGUUUCAUAGACGGAUAGUAGUAGUUAAGUUGUGUCUCUUUAUUUCAGAUUCUAUAUUUGAGACUUAAGUGCAAAUUUGGCCAAGACAGUAUUUAAAGUCAUUUUUAUGAGAACUUCUUCAAUUCUAUAACUGAAUUAAGUUGAGUCUUCCGCUGAGUUAAGUAAGUCAGACCAAGAGUUCCCUUGAGGCCAGCAAUGGUCACCAAGUGCUAGUCCCACCCAGGGUAUAAGCUCGGAGCAUGCUAAUAUAUGCAUUUCAUAUACGACUUACGUAUUCAGAUACUUUUAACAUUUUGUUAGAGCAGAAGAGUCUUAACUUAUAUAUGUAGGUGAAGUAUUGAUAUAUUGGGAUAUUGGUACUUAUUAUUAUUUUACUUUAAUACUUAUUUAUAAGUCUACAACACACGGUAAGCACACACAAGGUGCUCAACAUGUGUGCUUGAAGUAAAUUUAAUUUUGAAUGAGGUUAAUUUGGUCAUUUUAUAUAAUACUCAAUGUUUCUUUUACUUGUACAAAAUGCAAAAUUGCUUUUAUGGACAUCAAAUGACCAAAAACCCAGUAUCCUUUAACUCAUUGUCAUAUGUUAUAGAACAUUGCAAUUGGUUGAAAAUGAACUUUAAUGUAGUUGCAAUAUAAUUAUUUUUACUUCUUGUCAAAACUGCCCCUAUGCGGCUUAAGCUUAUUUUAUCAACUAUUUGUUAUUACGUGGAGAAAUUAAAGACAUCUUUAGAUGAGUCCUUUUAAGCGGUACCGACCUAGAUAUAUAUAUUCUUUUCGUUUUAUUUAUGUCAUUUUUACUAAAAAUAGGUAAUAUUUAAUAUUUAUCAUUUCACAAAAGUAAUGCAUUAUAUAGUAAUGAAAUCGACUCUCUGAACUCUGUGACGGACCGUCACAGGUACGACGAACCGUCGUGAGCCCCCGUUUCAAAACACUUCAACUCUUGAGAAUUUGGUACAGGGAACGAUUCUCUGAACGUCAUGACGGAGGUGCAGGACGGACCGUCGUAGGUACGAUGGGCUGUCACAGACUCCUUAAGGAAAUCGAGUCUUUGACGAACCUGCAUGACGGACCGUCGCAGGCACGACGGGCCGUCGCAGGUUGCGCAAUCCCAGUCUGGGUCAGAUUUCUUUACACAUUUUAAGGGACGUUUUUGACUAUUCCUUCUUUAAUUAUAAAGUUAGUGGGUUAAUGUUAAUAAGUCUAAUUACUUGGGGGUUAAAAGAGGUAACCUCAAGUUAAUUAGUGGGUUAUUAUUGCCAUCUUUCAUUCUUAAUUAUAUACUAAUUAGGGUAAAAGAAAGAGGGUUUGAAUAAAGAAAAUAGAAAGAACACAAAGAGAGAGAGGGAGAAUCGAACGAGAAGGUGAAAAGAAGAGGAGAAACACAAAGCUUUGGGAAAUUGCUUGCUUGAUUUCUUGUCUUCGGUGGAGGUAGGUUUUGGUUUUCAUGCUAUUCGUAGUAAACUCUUAAUAGCGAAUGAUAUGUGUUAGUAGUAUUGUAAACCCUUCUAUAUGCUUAAUUGUAUGCUUGCAUGAAUGAUGUGAUUAUGGAAUUAUGAAUAAAUAAGCAUGAUGAAGUUAUUGAAUCCCAAAUCUUGAAAAGAAACCUUAAUCUACUUUGUUAAUGAUGAUGCCUUGGUAUAAAAGAAGGCUUGAUGAACGAAAGGGGUGAGAUUAGGGGAUCGAGUGCCACAUUCUGGUACCAGUAUAGAGAUAGAGGAUCGGGUGCCACGUUCCGGUACCAGGAUAGAAUGAGGAUCGAAGUGUCACGUUCCGACACCAGGAUAGUAUAUGGAUCGGGUGCCACGUUCCGGUACCAGGAUAGAAUGAGGAUCGGAGUGUCACGUUCCGACACCAGGAUAGUAUAUGGAUCGGGUGCCACGUUCCGGUACCAGGAUAGAAUGAGGAUCGGAGUGUCACGUUCCGACACCAGGAUAGUAUAUGGAUCGGAGUGUCACGUACCGACACGAGGGGAAUAAAUAUAAUGAAUCUUGUAAGAUGCUAAUAUACUCAAUUUAAUGAAACUAAUUCCCAAAUGAGUAUGAUAUUGAGGCUUGAGUCCUCACGUGUGAACUUGACGGUAUUUGUUAAUGAUAUAGUACUUGUUGUUGCUACAUGUUGAGUAUCAUAGUUGAUUUUAUGAUAUUGCUUAAUAUAUAUUGUUUUCUAAUUUCGAGUUGACCGAUGAUAUCUACUCAGUACCCGUGUUUUGUACUGACCCCUACUUUUGUGUUUUCUUCUUUGUUAUUUGUGGAGUGCAGCAAACAUGCCGUCGUCUUCGACUCAACAGUAUUCAAGCCAGUCUUUACUACACCGGAAAUUCAGGGUGAGCUAAUGCUUCUAGCUUGGACUGGAUCUUCUUCUUCAAGUCUUGAUGCCUUGAACUUCCGGCAUGGACUAGCUUCUUAUGUAUUUUUAGCUUCUUAGACAUUUUUAGUUAGUAAUUUGAUCAUAGAUGUUCUUGUGAUGAUGACUUCCAGAUUUUGGGGAAUAAUAGUUAUUGAAUUGGUUUUUAUUUAAUGAGCUUAAGUCUUCCGCAUUAUUUUCUAUUGAUAUACGUUGAAAUGAUAAGGUUUAGAUUGGUUGGUUCGCUCACAUAGGAGGGUAAAUGUGGGUGCCAGUCGCGGCUCGGUUUUGGGUCGUGACAAACCUUGUAUCAGAGCAUUAGGUUCGUUGGUCUCAUCACACAAGAACGAGUCUAGUAGAGUCUUAAGGAACGGUAGGGGGGCGCCUUUACUUUUCUUUGAGGGGCUAUAAGACUUUAGGAAAUUCCAUUCUUUCUUAUCUCUUUCGUGAUACUACUUGAAUCCAAUUGGUAUCUAGGUGAUUCAAAUUGGUAUCUGACCAUCUUCACUCUAUUUCGCAGAUGGUUAGAACUAGAUCAACGACUGCGCCAACACCAACACCGGCAAGACAAGAAACGUCUGAGCCAGCCACUGGGGCUGUGGCUCAAGGAAGAGCAAUAGCAAGAGGUCGUGGUAGAGUUCGUGGGAGGACGUCCUCUAGAGGGAGAGGACGAGUACCUAGCCCAUCUGAUGCUAGGGCGGUGACUCCUCCACCGACUGAGGAAGUAGUAAGAGAGGGUGAGGAAGGGGAGAAUGAACAAGUGCAAAAUGAUGAAUUGCCACCCCAACCUACCCCAGAGAUGAUCAAUCAGGUUCUCGCUUAUCUUAGUGGGUUAUCUGAUUAGGGCCAGACACCUCCAGUGUUUUCUGCACCAGUACCUCAGGUUCCGGAGGUACAACAUGCGGCUACUAUGGCUCCUCGUAUGGAUGCCUCAUUGGACAUAGGCACGUUUCCACGUCUGACUACUGGGCCUAUAAUGACAAAUGAUCAGCAUGAACUUUUCAGUAAGUUCUUGAAAUUGAAACCCCCAGUCUUCAAGGGUGCUGAAUCUGAGAAUGCUUACGAUUUUCUGGUUGACUGUCAUGAGCUACUACACAAGAUGGGUAUAGUAGAACGGUUUGGUGUUGAGUUCGUGAGUUAUCAGUUUCAAGGGAACGCCAAAAUGUGGUGGCGGUCACAUGUUGAGUGUCAACCAACAGAGGCACCACCUAUGACUUGGGCCUCAUUCUCUAGCUUGUUUAUGGAGAAGUGUGUCAACCAACAGAGGCACCACCUAUGACUUGGGCCUCAUUCUCUAGCUUGUUUAUGGAGAAGUAUAUCCCCCAGACUUUGAGGGAUAGGAAAAGGGAUGAGUUCUUGAGCCUAGAUCAAGGUAGGAUGUCGGUUAAUGCAUAUGAGGCUAGGUUUCGCGCACUAUCCAGGUAUGCCACUCAACUUUGUUUCAGUCUACAAGAGCGGAUUCGCCGGUUUGUGAAGGGGUUGAGGUCAGAGUUGCGGAUUUCGGCCUUACAGGUAGCGGCUACGGCAAAAUCCUUCCUAGAAGUGGUAGACUUCGUGAUAGAGGUGGAAGGAGUGAAGCCCAAUGACUUCACCUCGACAUCGACAUCAAAAAGGUUUCGAAAGGGAGGUGAGUUUAAUGGUUCUUACCCUAGGGGAUAGGGUUUCGGAGGUUACUCAGUCCGACCGAUUCAGUCUUCACUACAGACUGUAGUUGGGGGUCCACCUCAGACCGGUCAAAACUUCCUUGAGAGACCUAUGCAUGAACCAAGAAAGUGCUAUGGAUGUGGGGAGAUUGGAAAUAUUAAGAGAUAUUGUCCAAAACAGAGUUACCGACCCCCAAUAGCUAGAGGUAGAGGUGGUUAUGGAAGAAGUCGUCAUUCUGGAGGACGCGGUGGUCGAGGUAAUGGUGGUCACCAAAACGGCCGGGGUGAUGGGCAAACUGGAGCCACUACAUCACAACAUGGUAGGGGCAAUAGACAGACAAGUAAUGGGGCUCAUUGCUACGCUUUUCCUGGGAGAUCUGAAACGGAGACAUCAGAUGCUGUCAUCACAGGUAAUCUUUUAAUUUGUGAUUGCAUGGCUUCUAUAUUGUUUGAUCCUGGAUCCACAUUUUCUUAUGUAUCUUCCUCAUUUGCUAAUGGUCUAAAUUUACGUUGUGAAUUACUUGACAUGCCUAUUCAUGUUUCUACUCCGGUGGGUGAGUCUGUGGUAGUUGAAAAGGUAUAUAGGUCUUGUUUGGUGAACUUUGUGGGGAGCAACAGUUAUGUAGAUUUGGUUAUCUUAGAAAUGGUUGAUUUUGAUGUAAUUCUGGGUAUGACUUGGCUUUCUCCGCAAUUUGCGAUCUUGAUUGUAAUGCUAAAACGGUGACGUUAGCCAAGCCUGGGACAGAUCCGUUAGUGUGGGAGGGUGACUACACUUCCAAUCCGGUGUGUAUCAUCUCCUUUCUUCGUGCUAAGAAAAUAGUUAGUAAAGGGUGUUUGGCUUUCUUGGCACAUCUCAAGGAUGACACUACCCAAGUACCCUCGAUUGAGUCAGUUUCGGUAGUCCGUGAGUUUUUGGAUGUGUUCCCUGCAGAUCUUCCUGGUAUGCCACCGGAUAGGGAUAUUGACUUCUGUAUUGAUCUUGAACCGGGUACUCGCCCCAUUUCUAUACCCCCUUAUAGAAUGGCUCCCGCCGAAUUGAGAGAGUUAAAGGCCCAACUUCAAGAGUUGUUGAGCAAAGGUUUCAUUAGACCAAGUGCAUCUCCUUGGGGUGCUCCGGUUUUGUUUGUAAAGACGAAGGAUGGGAGUUUUCGGAUAUGCAUAGACUACCGGCAGUUGAACAAGGUAACCAUAAAGAACAAGUAUCCUCUUCCUCGCAUUGAUGACUUGUUCGAUCAGUUACAAGGUGCUCGUGUCUUCUCUAAGAUUGACUUGAGAUCCGGUUAUCAUCAAUUGAAAAUACGGGCAACGGAUGUGCCAAAGACUGCUUUUAGAAUCAGGUAUGGGCAUUACUAAUUUGUAGUGAUGUCUUUUGGUCUUACGAAUGCCCCUACUGCGUUCAUGAGUUUGAUGAACGGGAUUUUUAAGCAAUAUUUGGAUCUCUUUGUGAUCGUAUUUAUUGAUGAUAUACUGAUAUACUCAAAGAGCAAGAAGGAACAUGAAGAGCAUUUGAGAAUGGUAUUGGAAAUGUUGAGGGAGAAAAAUCUUUAUGCCAAGUUCUCUAAGUGUGAGUUUUGGCUAGAUGCAGUGUCCUUCUUGGGGCAUUUAGUUUCUAAGGAGGGAGUGAUAGUGGAUCCUUCCAAGAUUGAGACAGUGAAGAAUUGGGUAAGACCUACUAAUGUGUCAGAAAUAAGGAGCUUUGUUGGGUUAGCUAGCUACUACCACCGAUUCGUCAAGGGAUUCUCUUCUAUUGCUUCCCAACUGACGAACUGCAAAAUGUUCCAUUUGUAUGGUCGGAUGAGUGUGAGGAAAGCUUUCAGAAGCUCAAGACUCUGUUGACUACUGCACUAAUUCUCACCUUGCCAGUGGAAGGUAGGAAUUUUAUUGUCUAUUGUGAUGCAUCCUAUUCGGGUUUGGGUGCAGUGCUAAUGCAAGAGAAGAAUGUGAUUGCUUAUGCUUCGAGGCAAUUAAAAGUGCAUGAACAUAACUAUCCAACUCAUGAUUUGGAAUUGGCUGCGGUAGUGUUUGCAUUAAAGCAAUGGAGACACUAUUUAUAUGGGGUUAAGUGUGAGGUCUACACGGAUCAUCGUAGCCUUCAGUAUGUCUUUACUCAGAAAGAUUUGAACUUGAGACAGAGGAGAUGGAUGGAGCUACUAAAGGACUAUGAUAUCACUAUCUUGUAUCAUCCGGGGAAGGCGAAUGUUGUAGCGGAUGCUUUAAGUAGAAAGGCGGGAAGCAUGGGAAGUCUAGCCCACUUGCAAGCUUCUAGACGCCCAUUGGCUAGAGAAGUUCAGAUUCUGGCUAACGACCUUAUGAGAUUAGAAGUAAAUGAGAAGGGAGGAUUUUUUGCUUGUGUGGAGGCAAGAUCUUCCUUCCUUGACAAGAUUAAGGGAAAACAGUUUGAUGAUGAGAAACUAAGCAGAAUCCAAGAUAAGGUGUUGCGAGGAGAGGCUAAGGAAGCACAAAUCGAUGAGGAAGGUGUUUUGAGUAUUAAGGGAAGGGUAUGUGUACCCCGCGUCGAUGAUUUGAUCAACACUAUUCUGACAGAGGCUCAUAGUUCAAGGUAUUCGAUACAUCCGGGUGCAACAAAGAUGUACUGUGACCUAAAGCAACACUUUUGGUGGAGUAGAAUGAAGCGUGAUAUUGUGGAUUUUAUUGUCAAAUGUCCAAACUGUCAACAAGUAAAGUAUGAACACCAAAGGCCCGGAGGAACACUUCAGAGAAUGUCCAUUCCUGAAUGGAAGUGGGAAAGGAUUGCAAUGGAUUUCGUGGUUGGUCUUCCAAGGACAUUGGGAAAGUUUGAUUCUAUUUGGGUAAUUGUUGAUAGGUUAACUAAGUAUGCUCAUUUCAUUCCAGUUAAGGUGACUUACAAUGCCGAGAGGUUAGCCAAGAUCUAUAUCUCAGAAAUCGUUCGAUUGCAUGGGGUUCCACUAUCCAUCAUAUCAGAUAGAGGUACGCAAUUUACUUCUAAGUUUUGGAAAACAUUGCAUGCGGAAUUGGGUACUAGGUUGGACCUUAGUACUGCGUUCCAUCCUCAGACCGAUGGUCAGUCUGAGCGAACGAUUCAAGUGUUGGAGGAUAUGCUUCGUGCAUGUGUGAUAGAAUUUGGUGGUCAGUGGGAUAGCUUCUUACCCUUAGCAGAGGUCUCCUACAACAAUAGCUAUCACUCAAGUAUUGAUAUGGCUCCAUUUGAAGCAUUGUAUGGUAGGAGGUGUAGGUCCCCCAUUGGUUGGUUUGAUGCAUUUGAAGUUAGACCUUGGGGUACUGACCUUUUGAGGGAUUCAUUAGAGAAAAUGAAAUCUAUUCAAGAAAAGCUUCUAGCGGCGCAAAGUGGUGAUGCGGUUUGGUAAGCAAGGUAAACUUAGCCCAAGGUAUAUUGGCCCAUUUGAAGUACUCAAGCGAAUAGGGGAGGUGGCUUAUGAGUUAGCCUUGCCUCCAAGGCUGUCCGGAGUACAUCCGGUAUUCCAUGUGUCGAUGUUGAAAAGAUACCCUGGGGAUGGAAACUACAUUAUCCGUUGGGAUUCAGUUUUGCUUGAUGAAAAUUUGACUUAUGAGGAGGAGCCUGUUGCCAUUUUAGAUAGAGAAAUUCGCAAGUGGAGAUCAAGGGAGAUUGUAUCCAUCAAAGUUCAAUAGAAGAAUCGACCAGUCGAAGAAGCCACUUGGGAGAAAGAGGCUGAUAUGCGAGAAAGAUACCCACACCUUUUACAGAUUCAGGUACUCCUUUUCGCCCUUGUUUUCCUUCUUGUGAUCGUUCGGGGACGAACGAUGGGUAAAUUGGUAUCUAUUGUAACGACCUGUUUAGUCAUUUUGAGCAGCAGACUUCAAUUCUGGAAAAACUGGCAAAAACGACUGACCCCACGACGGACCGUCAUGGGCACGACGGACCGUCGAGGGGGUCUCGUUCCAUAACACUUAGAAAAUAGAAAAUUGGGUACUGAAAUCGACUCUCUGAACUCUGUGACGGACCUGUAGGACGAACCGUCACAGGUACGACGAACCGUCGUGAGCCCCCGUUUCAAAACACUUCAACUCUUGAGAAUUUGGUACAGGGAACGAUUCUCUGAACGUCGUGACGGAGGUGCAGGACGGACCGUCGUAGGUACGAUGGGCCGUCACAGACUCUUUAAGGAAAUCGAGUAUCUGACGAACCUGCAUGACGGACCGUCGCAGGCACGACGGGCCAUCGCAGGUUGCGCAAUCCCAGUCUGGGUCGGAUUUCUUUACACGUUUUAAGGGACGUUUUUGACUAUUCCUGCUUUAAUUAUAAAGUUAGUGGGUUAAUGUUAAUAAGUCUAAUUACUUGGGGGUUAAAAGAGGUAACCUCAAGUUAAUUAAUGGGUUAUUAUUGCCAUCUUUCAUUCUUAAUUAUAUACUAAUUAGGGUAAAAGAAAGAGGGUUUGAAUAAAGAAAAUAGAAAGAACACAAAGAGAGAGAGGGAGAAUCGAACGAGAAGGUGAAAAGAAGAGGAGAAACACAAAGCUUUGGGAAAUUGCUUGCUUGAUUUCUAGUCUUCGGUGGAGGUAGCUUAUGGUUUCAUGCUAUUCGUAGUAAACUCUUAAUAGCGAAUGAUAUGUGUUAGUAGUAUUGUAAACCCUUCUAUAUGCUUAAUUGUAUGCUUGCAUGAAUGAUGUGAUUAUGUAAUUAUGAAUAAAUAAGCAUGAUGAAGUUAUUGAAUCCCAAAUCUUGAAAAGAAACCCUAAUCUACUUUGUUAAUGAUGAUGCCUUGGUAUAAAAGAAGGCUUGAUGAACGAAAGGGGUGAGAUUAGGGGAUCGGGUGCCACGUUUCGGUACCAGGAUAGAGAUAGAGGAUCGGGUGCCACGUUCCGGUACCAGGAUAGAAUGAGUAUCGGAGUGUCACGUUCCGACACCAGGAUAGUAUAUGGAUCGGGUGCCACGUUCCGGUACCAGGAUAGAAUGAGGAUCGGAGUGUCACGUUCCGACACCGGGAUAGUAUAUGGAUCGGGUGCCACGUUCCGGUACCAGGAUAGAAUGAGGAUCGGAGUGUCACGUUCCGACACCAGGAUAGUAUAUGGAUCGGAGUGUCACGUACCGACACGAGGGGAAUAAAUAUAAUGAAUCUUGUAAGAUGCUAAUAUACUCAAUUUAAUGAAACUAAUUCCCAAAUGAGUAUGGUAUUGAGGCUUGAGUCCUCACGUGUGAACUUGACGGUAUUUGUUAAUGAUAUAGUACUUGUUGUUGUUACAUGUUGAGUAUCAUAGUUGAUUUUAUGAUAUUGCUUAAUAUAUAUUGUUUUCUAUUUCGAGUUGGCCGAUGAUAUCUACUCAGUACCCGUGUUUUGUACUGACCCCUACUUUUAUGUUUUCUUCUUUGUUAUUUGUGGAGUGCAGCAAACGUGCCGUCGUCUUCGACUCAACAGUAAUUCAAGCCAGUCUUUACUACACCGGAAAUUCAGGGUGAGCUAAUGCUUCUAGCUUGGACUGGAUCUUCUUCUUCAAGUCUUGAUGCCUUGAACUUCCGGCAUGGACUAGCUUCUUAUGUAUUUUUAGCUUCUUAGACAUUUUUAGUUAGUAAUUUGAUCAUAGAUGUUCUUGUGAUGAUGACUUCCAGAUUUUGGGGAAUAAUAGUUAUUGAAUUGGUUUUUAUUUAAUGAGCUUAAGUCUUCCGCAUUAUUUUCUGUUGAUAUACGUUGAAAUGAUAAGGUUUAGAUUGGUUGAUUCACUUACAUAGGAGAGUAAAUGUGGGUGCCAGUCGCGGCUCGGUUUUGGGUCGUGACAGCAUAGAAAGCUAAGUAACUAAUUCAUACUUAUUGGUCAAAUUAAAUAGUCAAAAUAAAUAAAUUCAUGUUUAUUGAUUGAAAACUUGACUUCAAAAAAACAGUAAGAAUAGAAUAAAAUUUGCUUAAUUUCGUAAUACACAUAAAAUCUAAAAUAGUGACAUAUAAAUAUGAUCGGAGAGAGUAUAAGUUAAUUCUCUAUUUGUAUCAUACAAAUAGAGAAUCAAGAUUUUAUUAAUGAUUUUUCUUUUAUUUUUUGAUGUAAAGCGCAGUCAAGGCAGCGAUUUCACUUUAAUUUUUUUUAAUUUUCUUACAUAAAUCGCUGGCAAUUUCUCCAAUCUUUUUGUAAAUUUUUUUUAAUUGUGUCGUAAAGCGCUGCAAUUGCAGCGAUAUUUUUUUGCUAAAAAAAUCAAUAUUGUAAAUCGUCUAUGCAUGACUUUAUUGAUUUUUCUUUUUUUUUUGAACAAAUUUUUAGUGGAUUUUUUUAUAAAAUUGAAACUUCUUUUUUAACGUAAGAAAAUUAAAAAAAAUUAAACUGUAAUCGCUGCCUUGGCAGGGAUUUGUUGUAAAAAAAAUUUAUUUUAAAAAAGUGAAUUGUACAAAUUGGUGCUAUAGCAGCGAUUUUCCUUAGCGUCGGCAAACAAAAUCACUACAUCCUAAGCGAUUUUAUCGUUUUGGUUAUAAAAAAAUUCAUAUACCUGUAACGACCUGUUUAGUCGUUUUGAGCAGCAGAUUUUAUUCUGGAAAAACAGGCUGAGGCGACGGACCCAACGACGGACCAUCAUGGGCACGACGGACCGUCGCAGGGUCUCGUUUGAAAACACUUAGAAAAACUGAAAAUUGGAUACUGAAAAUCGACUCUUUGAACUUCGUAACGAAAUGGCAGGACGGACCGUCACAGGUAUGACGGACCGUCACAGACCAUUGGUGGAAAUUUGGGUCUCUGAACUUUGCGACGACCUGCAGGACGGACCGUCGCAGGCACGACGGCCCGUCACAGGUUGCGCAAUCCCAGUCCGGGUCGGAUUUCUUGAUACGUUUUAAGGGACGUUUUUGACUAUUCUUGCCUUAAUUAUAAAGUUAGUGGGUUAAUGUUAAUAAGUCUAAUUACUUGGGGGUUAAAAGAGGUAACCUUAAGUUAAUUAGUGGGGCAUUAUUGCCAUCUUUUAUUCUUAAUUAUAUGUUAAUUAGGGUAAAAGGAAGAGGGUUUUGAAUAAAGAAAAUAGAAAGAACAAGAGAAAGAGAGACAGAGAGUCGAACGAGAAAGAAGAGAAACAAAGCUUGGAGAAAAAUUUGCUUGCUUGAUCACUAAUCUUCGGUGGAGGUAGGUUAUGGUUUCUCUUACGAUAUUCGUAGUAAACUCUUAAUAGAGAAUGAUAUGUAUUGAUAAUAUUGUAAACCCUGCUAUGUGCUUAAUUGUAUGCUUGCAUGAAUGUAAUUAUAUAAUUGUGAUUAUAUAAGCAUGAUGAAGUUAUUGAAUCCCAAAUCUUGCAAAAUCCUAAUCUCUUUGUUAAUAAUGAGGCCUUGGUAUAAAAGAAGGCGUGAUGAACUAAAAUAAUGGGAUUGAUGAUGCCUUGGUAAGAAAGAAGGCUUGAUGAAUUGAUGGAAGGAGAUUAGGGGAUCGGGUGUCACGAACCGACACGUAGAAUUAGGGGAUCGGGUGUCACGAACCGACACGUAGUAUUAGGGGAUCGGAUGUCACGAACCGACACGUAGUAUUAUGAGAUCGGGUGUCACGAACCGACACGUAGUAUUAGGGGAUCGGGUGUCACGAACCGACACGUAGUAUUAGGGGAUCGGGUGUCACGAACCGACACGUAGAUUUAGGGGAUCGGGUGUCACGAACUGACACAUAGAUUUAGGGGAUCGGGUGUCACGAACCGACACAUAGAUUUAGGGGAUCGGAGUGUCACGUACCGACACAAGAGGAUUAAUGAAUAUUGAGGGAGCGGAGUGUCACGUACCGACACAAGAGAAAUAAAGAUAAUGAAUCUUGAAAGAUAUUAAUAUACUCAAUCUAAUGAACAUGAUUCCCAAAUGAGUAUGGUAUUGAGGCUUGAGUCCUCAUGUGUGAACUUGACGGUAAUUGUUAAUGAUAUAGUAUUUGUUGUUGCUACAUGUUGAGUAUCAUAGUUGAUUUUAUGAUAUUACUUGGUAUAUAUUGAUUUCUAUUUUGAGUUGGCCGAUGAUAUCUACUCAGUACCCGUGUUUUGUACUGACCCCUACUUUUAUAUUUUCUUCUUGUUUAUUUGUGGAGUGCAGCAAACGUGCCAUCGUCUUCAACUCAACAGUAAUUCAAGCCAGUCUUACUACAUCGGAAAUUCAGGGUGAGCUAAUGCUUCUAGCUUGGACUGGAUCUUCUUCUUCAAGUCUUGAUGCCUUGAACUUCCGGCAUGGACUAGCUUCUUAUGUAUUUUUAGCUUUUAGAACACUCUUAGUUUAGUCAUUUGAUCGUAGAUGUUCUUGUGAUGAUGACUUCCAGAUUUUGGGGAAUAAUAGAUGUUGAAUUUUAGAAGUUAAUGAAUUGGUCUUUAUUUAAUGAGUUUAAGUCUUCCGCAUUACUUUCUGUUGAUAUUAUAUUGAAAUGUUAAGGUCAGAUUGGUUGGUUCACUCACAUAGAAGGGUAAGUGUGGGUGCCAGUCGCAACCCGGUUUGGGUCGUGACAAUACCUUUUUGAAAUUUUUGUUAAUAUUUUUCACCCUUUAGCCUCUGUACUUGCAUGAAUUACAAUAUUCUUCCUAUUUUACUCUUGUGAAUAAUUAGCUUUGAAAGUAUAUGUUUGAUCAACCUAGAAAAACUAAGUGAAUAGUUUAUGUUCAUUAAUUCAAUUAAUUAAUAAAAAUAAAUUAAUUAAUAUUUUCUUGACAAAUUCCUAUUUGAUUUUUUAAUUUAAUUCAAAAUUUUCAAGUUCCAUGUUUCACUCUUUUCUUGACGAGUUUUGUAAUAAACUAUGUACAAGAAAAGCUGUAGCUAUAAAGAAAUCAACGUAGUACAAAAUUGAAAAUUGUAUUUCAUUAAGUAAAAAAAUAGAAGGGCUUAACAACAAAACAAACUAAUUAAAUUUUAACUUAAACCCCCUGAAAUAAUAAUAAUAAUAAUAAUAAUAAUAAUAAAACAAUACUACAACAAGAAUCAUCAACCACAUACAUAAUAAGAGAGAAUAGACAAACAAAAAUUUGGAUACAACGAUGAAAUAACUAUAGAUAAUACAAAUUUGGAUAUUCAUUAAACUAUAUAUAGUGAAUAUCCUGAUACUAUAUUGCCUAAUUCUCGUUUCUAGGUACAUCAUCCAUGACAAACACGCCUAUUGAAACCCUUCAUGGAGGCGUAUAUCGGUGCCCAAUCCUUUUAUAACGAGGCGUAUAUAAGUGCUAAACUGUAAUGUUAAGAAAUACUUUUUAAUUAGUUUUCUAAAUAUAAUUUAUUCCUUUAUUUCUUUUUGUGUUAAUACUAGAACUAGAAUAGAUCAAUUGAUGUUCAUAACAAAUUCCAACACCUCACUCAUAAUGAAAUUGAUCAUAAUUUAAAGUACUAAAUCAUGCUAAAUAAGUUAAGUAAGUAUUAGUUACAUGCCUAAAUAUUAAAAGAAAAUAAAAUUAGAUCAUGUAUUUUAAUUGUUUAAAUCUAUGUAAAACUAAAAAAUAAAUAUUCAAUAUUAUUGUCAUUCUUAGUGUUGAAUUGAUUCGUUUUUUGCAUUAUUAUUAAUUUGAUUUUUAUUUAAACUUUAUUAUAAUUACCAACAUGUAUGGUCUAUAAUCUUUAUUUGAUAAUUAAGAAUUCUAACUUCCAAACAUAAAAUAAAUAUAGUAAAAGAUAAAAACUGUGAAAAAAGUAUAAGAGAUAUUUAUUAAUUAUAUCAAAGUAAGUAUUUUUACGUAUAAAAUAAAAACUUUAAUUUAUAUGUAUAAUGUCGGGUUGGUUUGGUCUCGGGUUGAUUUAUUAUAGUUGAAACCAACCCAACCCAAAUAUAGUCGGGGUUUUUUUUUCCAACACAAAAUUGAGUCAAACCAAACCACUAGUCAGGUUUUUUUUCGAUUUGACUAGGUCUGCGGGUUUAGUUCAAUUUUCGAUUUGAUUUUAUACACUCGAUUUUGAUUUUUGUGAUCUGUAGUAAGAGAUAUAGAGCAAGUCUUUUUUCCAUUAAACUUAUUUAUUUUAUUUUAUUUUUGUAGGAAAGAAGGGGGACCUUGUAUAAUUUUUUUGAUUUAGAUUUGAUGUAUCUUUGUUAAAAAAGUGGGUUACAUACACUCCUAUUAUCAUAUAAACGUGAAUUACUUUAUAAUGAGCGAUAUAUAAAUUUUAAUAAAUUAUAAAAUUGAGGAGGAGUAUAUCAAGACUUUUUACGGACUUGCGUAUUUAGAUAUUUUAGAGAUUCUGUUAAUUAAAGUAGAAGAGUAGGUGAAUAUUGGUAUGUUGAAAACAUGUGCUAUUUAUACUCAUGAAUAGAAUAAUUAAGUAGUAUAUAAUUGUUUAGUUAAACGUGUUGGGAGCCGUGCAUGCAUAUAUAUAUAUAUAUAUGCAUUUCAUGACAUAUAUAAUAAUAUAAUAAUAAUAUUAUCCAAUCUCACCAUUUAUUUAAUAUAAUAUUACAUGAUAAUUAAGAGGGCACUUCAUUUAUUUAGGUGUGUGUGAGUGAGUGAUGAUGGAGUAGUCCUAGGUAAUAGUGACGGUUGCUAGAGAUGUAAGUAUCCCAAAAAUUGCUGCCAAAGUUUGACCAACCACAUUCUCAAGUAAGUUUCCAAUAAGGAUAACGGGAGCUACAAGGGUUCCUGUGGUUGGAGUCAAAGUGCAAUUAGCAAUUGGGAGAGGAAUCCUUGCAAUACAUGUUCCUGACAAAAGACUUGUAUUGGUGGACACUGCAGCAUUAAUAAUGCCUUGACUAUUUGUGGACACUUGAGCAAUCGUUGUGUUGCCACAAAUAAUCGUUACAUUUGCUCCACUCACUCCGACGCCUGGGGCAUUACUUCCCGGUACGGAGCAAGACAAACUCCCCAAUAUACUUAAAUUAACAACACGAUCAACAACAGGUGGUACAAUCGGUGGUACUUGACCACCAACAGGUGGUACAAUCGGUGGUACUUGACCAACAACAGGUGGUACAAUCGGUUGGCCAAGAAUAGGACUAAGAAUGGGACCAACAAUUGGACCGAGAAUAGAACCAACAAUCGGUAAUUGGCCAAGACCAACAGGUGGUACUUGACCAACGGGUGGUACAAUACGUGGUGCAGGUUGCCCCAAAAUGGGACCCACAAAGGGAAUGGGACCCAAAAUGGGACGAACAAUGAGACCCAAACCUUGAGCAUGGGCUAGAGGACUGAUGGUGAUGAUGGAAAGUAGAACAACAAGGGAAAC